UCAAUUUUAGCAGAGACAAAUAUGAUGGGCGAAUUUGAUCACAGCUCAUCAUACAAAUUCAGAUGCAUCUCCGAGGAGCUUGGCGGCAGGGUGCAGGAGACGGCCGGAGCGCCGGACCAAGCACUCCUCUUCCUCCACAGGGUCGUCGGCGACCCCGACAUGUUGCGCCGCCUCGCGAGCAGCCCGGGUAGCGGCCACGGCCAGGACGAGGGCGCGCGGGUCAACAGGCCGGGGGCGCUUCUCGACAGCAGGGAAGAACAGAAGACCACUGCGCCGCCAUCCUCCUCCCGCUGCUCCAGCACGGAUCGAGCACCACCGCCCGUGUAAAAAUAUCACCUUUGACCGGAUCGAGCACGACUUCUGCUCGCGUGGGCGGGAGGCGGGCGCAGCUGCUGCUGUCCGCUUGUGCUGCUUCUGGUGGUGCGCGAGGAGCGGCCGCCCGGAGGAGGGGAUUGGGACGGGGAUAGCUGGAAGCUCGGUGGUGGUGCGGCGGCGUCCUGGUGGCGCUGGGUGGCGUGGUCGCCGGAGGAAGAGGCGGUCUCGAUGGGGUCGUCCUCAUCCGGCUGCUCCAGCUCGUGGAUGGGCGCCAAGGGGGGGUCGUCGGAGCUGGCAGUGGGCGGUGGUGGGUGGGGUGAGGUCGACGGAUCUGGGGUGGGGAGGAGGCGAGUGGUAGCCGGGGGGCCUGUCGGGGAGAGAGCGAGUGCGAGGGGCAAAAGGGGAAAGCGGAGAAAUAUUACAACGUGACGAAAAAUGAACUGGUUAUCUCCAGCGAUAAUUAUUUCGGAACGGAGAGAGUACUAUAGAAGAGACGACAGAAUCAUAACAAUAUAGGGACAAUUCGACACAUGAACUGAGAAUACAGCAGGAACCAGCAGCCAGCAAUUGCUUCAAAACACCAAUAUCGCAAACAGAACACAAUGGCUAGAACAAUGGCAAACACGAGUACGAGGCACCGCUUAUUAUCACCCCCAUCUUCUCUCGCUCCCACGGCAAGGAGUAUACUGUAUACAGCAGUAGAAUAGAUGGAAUGAACCACCAUAUAGUCGAACCACGCUUAAUUAAACACACUACGCGAAACAAAGCAAACGGGGGAGAGAUCCAAGGGGCGCGUUUGCUUGCUUCCCUACACGAAAGCGGCGGCGGCCGCCGCGGCGCCAGCGGUGCGGAGGAUCUGGUAGUAGACCUGCGGGUUGGCCAGGAACGCCGUGCGGGAGAUGAGGAAGCCGGCGGCACCAGGCGCCUUCAUCAUGGCGCCGGCCGCGGCGGGGGCGGCCGCAGCGGGCCAGAGGAAGUAGGCGCCCACGGCGCCCCCGAUGACCAUCGCCGCGGUUCCCACGGCACCGUCCCGCGUGGAGAGCUUUGCGGGCAGGUACGGCUUGGCCAACGAGACGGUGGAGACCAUGGCCGCUCCCGUAUGGUUCUUGACGUAGCCGAGACCUGCGACGAUGUCGCCGGUGUUCAUCCCGGUAAGCCUUGCUGGGAGGUACGGCUUGGCCAACGAAACGGUGGAGGCCACGGCCGCUCCUGUAUGGUUCUUGACGUAGCCGAGACCGGCGACGAUGUUGCCCGUGUUCAUCUCGGUUAGCUUUGCCGGGAGGUACGGCUUGGCCAGCGAGACGGUGGAGGCCACGGCGCUCGCCUGUUGCUUGACGAUGUCGACGCCGGAGAAGAGGAGGUCGCGUGCGUUCAUCUCGCCUGGUUUUCCUUUCCGACUUGUGGUUAUCUGUCUGGACUAGCCUCACUAGAUGGAUGAGACGACGCAGAGCGUCGAUUUAUAGCGACGAAGGUGAUCCAUACCUAGACGACGACCUUGACUACCAACAGUACUACUAUCGACUUUACGUUGGAAAAACACAGCACUAAUCAUGUCACCAAUAUGAAAAAGAAUCAAAAGAUGAGGAAAGAGGCGACAAAAUCAUUCAUCGCUGGUCCCUACGUACCCACUCGCCGAAAGCACAGGAUGCCCGGGCGUGGCGCGGAAGGCAGUCACCUCGACCAGGACGUUGUGUUUAAGAUCUGUAGAAGUUCACCCCCAAAAAAAACAUCACUUUUUUGAAUUUAUUUCCUAUUUUUCGCUGGGGAAAAAGGAUUUUUAUUCCAUAUUGAGGCAGUUACAGUCGAGAGACAAAAUGUCCUCAAUACAUGGUGGUCCUGUGUGCAUUCACACAGCCGUGGCACACUCUAUAUGACUAUUUGUUUCCCCUUCUUUUUUAUGAUUUUUGCAAUGUGUAAUAUACAUUCAUAUGAACAUGUUGAAUUUUUAUCAGAAUUUUUUUAAACUUAGGAAUACCAUUUUAGCACUAUUCCAAAUAUAAGGCUCACGAGCUCAUCCACCAAAGUGAUUUUUUGCUAUUCCUACUUUUUUCGAAUAAAGCUAUUCUUACUCACUAAGUUUGCACCACUUCAUGUCUCCGAGCGUUCCUGCGUCAGGAUCCGUACGUGCAUUAUGCGUGUCGUACUUCAAAUGUUGGAGUCUUCAUACGGGACAAAAGCUAGUGACUAGAUCGAUCAAAAGGAGAUUCUUUCACCUGCUACCACGACGCGACCACAAAACAGAGAAUGGUUUAAUAACUUUGCCACUAAUUUUGACGUGUCACAUUUCAAGUUGAUACUAGUACCAGGGACGUAGCGGUAAAAACAUACUUUCUCCGUCUAAAAUUACUUGUCUUAGUUUUAGAUACAUCUCAUUUUAUCCAUUUUGAUGACAAGUAUUUUCGGACGGAGGGAGUAAUAUACAAGAGGAAUUCAACUCAAAAAAGCUAUAUAAGAGGAAAAUGGUACCAAGGCCUUGGCCUGACCGUUCAUUUAUUAAAAGAAAAAACCUGAACAAGCACUAGUUUGGGGUAGUAUGUCUGUAAAAUUGUGUGUGUGUGUGUGUGUAUCCUUGAAUAUUGAUAAUAUCCUAAUAGGAGUGAAUCUGAAUUGAUAAUGUAUUAUCAAUUAUAUUGGCAGGGAAGACCCUCAAUAUAAAAAUAAAUAUAAAUAAAUAAAUAGACAAAUACAUCACCGGUUGUACUAUUGGCCUCACCAGCCCUUAAUAGAUCAAGCAUUAGAAAAUAACCAGAAGAAUAGAACGGGCAAACAGUAGCAAAGAAUUAAAUAUUGUAGUGAAUAGUGAAUACUAUCCAAAUAGAACAUUAGCGCAGUAGAUUAGCCUAAUCACAUAUUAGCUUAUUAACUUAAUUGCAUAUUAGGUCAUUAGGUUAAUAUUGUAUUUGAAUAGUAUUCACUAUUCACUAUAAUAUUUAAUUCUUUGCCGUUGUUUGCACGUUCUAUUCAUAAGUAAAAAUACCAAGUGAAGCACGAAACAACAUCAUUUUCACAACAUAAUUUUCAUAUGGUUUUCCCUUUCGGGAGGACACGAAGGGGUUAAAAAAAAGGAUACAUUAUUAUUCUUGGCAAUUAUAGCAUCUUAGAUAUGGUGGCUAUUCUACAAGUGGUGGUGGUACUACUACUAAGGAAACUGAGAGUGUUCUGGAGACUGCUCUUCUUGCUCGUAGCUCUGGACUCCGUCUCUUCCGUGUGUGUUCUUCAAAGCGCUCAGACCUCCUACUUUAUAGUGUGGGAGGGAUGCUAGAUGCUCCCUUCUUUAUUCUUCCGCGUCAUACCUGGAACCUGGAGUAAACCAUAGCUUGACGCCUUAUGCACCGUUGAAGUGGCUCAAACUUUGCACAAUCAAGCCUUGCAUGACUCUCAUGCUAGAUUGAUGUUUUUUGUCUAGAGUGAGAAUUUUGUCUAGAGUGAGAACUUUCUCCAGACUGAGAACUUUGUCCAAACCGAAGGCUUUGUCAUGGUUGAAAUCCUGGCUUCUCAUUCCGUGAUAAGAUACACUUAUUUUUUUUAUUUUUAUAUUGAGGGUCCUCCCCGUCAAUACAAUUGAUAAUACAUUAUCAAUAUUCAUAUUAGCUCAUAUUGGGAUAUUAUCAAUAUUCGGGGAGGUCCACCGGAACCGAAUAAUUGAUAGCAAAAUCAAUUCAUGUAUAUGGACUUCUAUUCAGGAGGCUGCUCAUGCCCAGCUCUAUCCAUGUGAUCGAUGGAAAUCAUAUUUGCUAUCACAUUCUUUCUUUAUUUCUUCAAUUUUCCUCUAUUUCUUGUCUUGAUUCUUUUAAGAUUUCCUCUUUCAAUUUUUUCUUUAUUAUUUUUGACAAUUCUUCAACUCUUGUAUCCAUUUCUUGAUCUAUGUACUCACUAUCUAGAGGGUCAAUUCCCUUCAGAAGGCAUUCUUGAUAUAUAUGAUAUUUUGGGGAUUCUUCCUUCUUUACAUUCUUCGAGCUUGAUGCUUCUCGCUUUGUAGGAAUUGCUGAAGUGGGUAUAUCUUUAUCUAUGCCUCUUCACUUCUGAAUAUACUCUUUAGCCUUUUGGUCAAUAUAAUAAUUCUCUCCUGUUAUGUCCCUUGCCCAUUUCAGGGCAUCAUUGAUAUUAUCAUAUCUUUUGAAUGUUAGUUCGUUGUUUCUUCACUUUGUUGCAAACUUAUCUAUUUGAAUUUCUUCCCAUGAAAUGUAUAUUCCUAGCUAAUUUCCAUCAAACAUAAUAUAUAAAUAUCUUCCUUUUCUACUUACAUUUUUGUUAUCUUUGGUAUAUUUUUGUUUAACAUAUUAAAAUAUUAUGCAAGACUACUGAGAUUAGAUAACAUGUGUCCUUUUUCUUCUCUCUUCACUGUGUAUUGAUACCAAAGAUUAUCCAAUAAGCAUCCUUGGAUCUCAUCAAUACGGAUAUGGAUCUUUGGUUUGGAAUUAAAUGUAUUUGGUGGAAAUAUUUUCAAUUUAUUAUCAUCUCCAAACAUAAAACAUUCAAUUCGACCACCGAGUGUUGCUCUCUUCAUUUCUGUAAGAUUUGUGAACGAGAAAAUAUGUCAGGUAAACUGUUAUCUUUUCCCUUAGUAUGCUCAAAUAUUACUUUAUAUCCAUUCCCGGCUAUAGUAUCUUCAAAUAAGACCAAUCUUAUUGUUGAGGUUUUCAUACUAUCCAUUUUAUUGUAAUAUGACAUAUAGCUUCAUAGUAAUAUUAUUUUAUAUCCAUUCCCGACUAUAGUAUCUUAAAAUAAGACCCAUCUUCUUGUCGAGCUUUUCGUACUAUUCAUUUUAUUGUAAUAUGACAUAUAGUUGCAGAGUCUAUCCUUCUAAAGUAAUAUUCGAGGAUCUUAAGGGAAAAUAUAAUAGUUUGCCUGACAUAUUUUCUCGUUCACAAAUUUUACAUAAAUGAAGAGAGAAAUAUUCAGCGGUGGAAGUGAAUGUUUUAUAUUCUGAGAUAAUAAUAAAUUAAAAAUACUUCCACCAAAUACAUGCUACUUCAAACCAAAGAACCAUAUCGUAUUGAUGAGAUCCAAGGAUGCUUAUUGGAUAAUAUUUGGUAUCAAUACACAAUGAAGAGAGAAGACAAAGGAUACGUGUUAUCUAAUCUCAAUAAUCUUGAAGAAUAUUUAAUAUGUUGAACAAAAAUAUUCAAAAGACAGCAAAAGUUGAAGUACAAAAAGAAGAACAUUUAUAUAUUAUGCUUGAGGGAAAUAAGCCAGGAAUAUACAUGUCAUGAGAAGAAAUUCAAAUAGAGAAGUUUGCGGCAAAGUGAAGAAAUGAAGAACUAACAUCCAAAAUAUAUGAUAAUAUCAAUGAUUCCUUGAAACGGGCAAUGGACAUAAUAGGAGAGAAUUAUUAUAUUGACCGAAAGGCUAAAGAAUAUAUCCUGAAGCGAAGAGGCAUAGAUAAAAAUAUACCUGCUUCAGCAAUUCCUACAAAAGGAGAAGCAUCAAGCUUGAAGAAUAUAAAGAAUGAAGAAUCCCCAAAAUAUCAUACAUAUCAAGAAUGCCUUCUAAAGGGAAUUGACCCUCUAGAUAGUGAAUACAUAGAUCAAGAAAUGGAUAGAAGAUUUGAAGAAUUGUCAAAAAUAAUAAAGAAAGAAUUGACAGAGGAAAUUUUAAAAGAAUUAAGACAAGGAAUAGAUGAAAAAUUUGAAGAAAUACAGAAGAACGUGAUAGCAAAUAUGAUUUCCAUCUGUUUGAAGACGAUCACAUGGACAUAGCUAGGCAUGGGCAACCUAUUGAAUAUAAGUCCAUAUACUUGAAUUGCUAUUAGUAUCAAGUCGGGCACGGAGGACCUCUCCAAAUACUGAUAAUAUCCCAAUAGGAGCGAAUCUGAAUAUAGAUAAUGCCUUAUCAUUAAAUUGGCGGAGAAGACCCCCAAUAAAAACAAUAAAAUAAUCGUAUCUUCUCAUUCAACGAAAAGCCAGGAUUUUAGCCACGACAAAGUUCUCGUUCUGGACAAAGUUCUUAGUCUGGACAAAGUUCUUAGUCUAGACAAAGUUCUCGGUCCGGACAAAAACAUCAGUCUAGCAUGGGAUCCAUGCAAGGUUUGAUUAUGCAAACUUUGAAGCACUUCAAUGGUGCAUAAGGGUGUCAAGCUGCAGUAUACUCAAGGCUCCAGCUAUGAUGCGGAAGAAUAAAGAAGGGAGCAUCUAGCAUCCCUUGCGCACUAUAUAAGGAGGAGGACUAAGCGCUGCGGAGAACACACACAUAGAAGAGACGGAGUCCAGAGCUUCGAGCAAGCAGAGCAGUUUCUAGAGCACUCUCAGUUUUCUUAGUAGUAGUGCCACCACCACUUGUAGAAUAACCACGAUAGCGAAGGUGUUGUAAUCUCCAAGAUAAACAAGGUAUCUUUUUUUGUAGUCCCUUUGGGGCCUUCCGGAAAGGAAAACCAUAUGUAAAUUAUGUAGUUUCAAGCUUCACUUGGUAUUUUUAUUUAUGUUAUGGAUCCUAUAGGAGAAACUUGGUAGUUCUCUGUUUAGCCUUGUGUGACGUUUGAAUGAGAUUAUUGUGGCCAUAAAGAAGUGUUCCCUUUGGGUGGAACUGCCUCGGAGGACGAUAGGUAUUUACCCCAUAAGUUUGCAUUUAAAACAUCAAGUGAAAGAACCUAGCUACAUCUGAAAACAACAUAAUGAAAAAAAUGGUGAGUACUGAGUAGCAUAUCACACCACCGCGCACACUAUCGGUUGUACUGUUGGCCUCCCCAGCCCUUAAUAGAUCCUACAUUAAAAAAAUAAACAUCUUAGUAAAGAGUUGAACAUGCAAACAAUAACAAAGAAUUAAAUAUUAUAGUGAAUAGUGAAUACUAUUCAAAUAGAAUAUUAUCCUAAUCACAUAUUAGCCUAACCACAUAUUAACCUAAUUAAAAUCUGAUCUAAUGUUUGACUGGAAGUUUCUCGCAAAAAAACCUAAACAUAUAUUUUUGUGUAAUUUUGGAUAUUGAAAGUAGAAAUUAAGGUAUUAUAAAAUUAAAUAUAUUUAGCUAGCAAUAAUAUAAAAAGUGUUCAACGUGAACGGAAAAGAAGAAAGGAUGGGAUCACAUAUGAUAUCACUAAUUUUCAUACAACUAACCUAUAGACAGUCUGAUAGUUUGUUGUUCGCUCUGCAUACAGACUACUUGUUGAUAUGCGAAUAGGCAGAAGCGUCUUACCUCGAUGAGAGGGACGCGUUACGUGUUAUAUAAUCAGGGGUGUACCUCCCUGGUAACAGCACAUACAAUGUAGUUGGAGAUCUUCUAGGAAGAUAAGGAGAUUACAUCUUGGAGAACAAGAGAUAAGAGAGAGAGAGAUUACAAAGAGCUAUUCGGUUACAACCUACUCUAUAUCUCCUAACGAUGUACGCUACCAGGUAUGCGCCACACAUACGUGACACAUCAUUAUAUGUGUUUGACACCCUCCCUUAAUCACAACUUCAUCAAGUUGAGAUUAUAUUUGAAGUCUUCAAAACUUUUGUCAGGUAGAGCCUUUGUGAAUCCAUCUGCAAUUUGAUCUUUAGAAUGCACAAAGCGAAUGUCAAGCUACUUUUGAGCCACUCUUUCUCUGAUAAAAUGGAAGUCAAUCUCUAUGUGCUUUGUCCUGGCAUGAAAAACAGGAUUAGCAGACAGAUAUGUGGCGCCCAAGUUAUCACACCAUAGACAGGGAACCUUUGCACUUUUUAUGCCAAGUUCUUUCAGCAUGGAUUGUACCCAUAUAAUCUCAGUUGUAGCAUUUUCUAAUGCUUUGUACUCUGCCUAUGUACUGGAUCUGGAAAUUGUGGCCUGUUUUCUUGCACACCAUGAAAUCAGGUUAGGACCAAAGAAUACUGCAACCACGAGUUGAACGUCUAUCAUCUAGGCAUCCUUCCCAAUCAGAGUCUGAGAAGGCACUCACAAGUGUAGAUGAUGACUUACUAAGAUUAAGACCAACAUUGAGGGUGUACUUAACAUAUCUGACUAUGCGCUUUGCAGCAGUCCAAUGAACUGUAGUAGGUGCAUGAAGGAACUGGCAGACUUUGUUGACAGCAAACAAAAUAUCAGGUCUUGUAAGUGUUAAAUAUUGAAGUGCACCUACUAGACUUCUAUACUUUGUGCUGUCAUCUGAAUUCAAGGGUUACCCCUCUGUAAGGGAUAAUUUUUCAGAACUAGACAAUGGAGUAGGUGAGGGUUUACAACCUUGCAAGCCAGCCUUUUUGACCAAAUCUGUUGCAUAUAUUUCUUGAGAUAGAUGAAUGCCAUCUUCAUGCUUCUUCACCUCUGUCCCUAGAAAAUAGUGCAACUCUCCAAGAUCCUUGAGGGAAAAUUCUGCACUAAGAUCCUUCAAAAGUCCUGAGAUAGCCUCAUCAGAUGAACUUGUGACAAUAAUAUCAUCAACAUAUAUGAGAACAAAUAUAUGUGUGUUGCGCUUAUUGUAAAUGAACAGUGAGGUAUCUGACUUAUAAGGUACAAAACCAAGUGCCUGCAUUUUGUGAUUGAGACGUCAGUACCACGCUCUAGGAUCUUGUUUCAACCCAUAUACUGCUUUAUCAAGUUUGCACACAUGAAGAGGUGCAUCCUUAUUUUCAAACCCAGGUGGUUGUUUCAUAUACACUUCCUCUUCGAGAACACCAUGAAGAAACGUGUUCUAUACAUCUAGUUGUCUAAGACUCCAACCUCUGGAAACUGCAAUAGACAAGACAAGACGGAUGGUGGCUGCUUUAACAACAGGAUUAAAGGUGUCCUCAUAGUGUAUACCAUACCGUUGUUUAAACCCCUUUGCCACAAGCCGUGCUUUGUAGUGAUCAAUAGUUCCAUCAGAUUUCUUUUUGAUCCUAAAUACCCACUUGCAAUCAAUGAGGUUUUUACCUUGCUAUGGAGGGACCAAAUGCCAGGUUUUGUUCCUUUUUAGGGCCAUGUAUUCUUCUUUCAUGGCCUCUCUCCAAUGUUCAUCACCAAGUGCUUCCUCAAGCGUGUAUGGUUCACCUGGUUCUCCUAUGGAGCAUACCAUACCAUAUACUGUUAUAUGCUUAUAAUCAAUAGGUUUUAUUACCCCUUGCUGCAGUCGUGUACGCUAUGGUGCUGGCGUAGAAGAUCCCACGCAAUCUACAGGAGUUGCACCAGGCGCCGAUCCGAAGGAAGAUGCGGGUGCAGCAGCUGUGUCGGGCGCCGGAUCAGCUGUGUCGGGCGCCGGAUCAUCUGUGGCGGUAGACGCGCCACUGUCGUGCAAAAGAGGCAUAGAGGAUCCAGGCUCGGCCCCCCUUGCGUCAGUCGUGGAGCCCGCAUCGGUCGGACGACGCAGGUCGCGCCGCUUGUAACACACUGGUUGGACCGGGAAGCGGGCGCUCGUAGGCGGCGGACGCGUGGGCGAGCGGGAUUGGUGCGGGACGGUAGCCACACGGUCGCCAGCCGCUGUCUGGCGCGUGCCAGGCGCGGGACCGGAUCCUGCCGCACGGUGGACGCACCCGAGGCAGCUGUCGGUGCAGACUCCAGGGCAGAUCGGCCCAGGCAUGCAGUGGGUGCAGAUCCCGGAGUGGAUUCGGCUGACAGAUCUGGAGCUCCUGUCAGCUCCGAUCCCGAGGGGGAUUUGCUCCCAGAUUCUGGACACAUGAAAUAAGGCCCGACUGCGCUAAUUUCUUCAGGAUUUUCUCGUCCAUUUUUUCUGUGCCAUCUCCUGAAUCAUCACACAACUCAUGCAGCGCAAUGAGAGGGUUAGUCAUCAUAGAAUCAUCACAGUUUUGUGCCCCUUGAGUAAGCUGUUGGGGAACGUAGUAAUUUCAAAAAAUUUCCUACGCACAUGCAAGAUCAUGGUGAUGGCAUAGCAACGAGAGGGGAGAGUGUUCGUCCACGUACCCUCGUAGACCAUAAGCGGAAGAUUUAGCACAACGCGGUUGAUGUAGUCGUACGUCUUCACGAUCCGACCGAUCCAAGCACCGAAUGUAUGGGGCCUUCGAGUUCAGCACACGUUCAGCUCGAUGACGAUCUCCGGCCUCCGAUCCAGCCGAGCUCCGGAGAUGAGUUCCGUCAGCACGAUGGCGUGGUGAUGAUGAUGAUGUUCUACCGGCGCAGGGCUUCGCCUAAACUCCGUGAAGAUAUGACCGAGGUGGAAUAUGGUGGAGGGGGGCACCGCACACGGCUAAGGAACGAUCCGUAGAUCAACUUCUGUGUCUAUGGGGUGCCCCCCGCCCCCAUAUAUAAAGGGGGAGAGGAGGAGGGGGCCGACCUAAGGGGAGGCGUGCCCUAGGAGGGGGAAACCUACUCCAAGUAGGUUUCCCCCCUCCCUUUCCUAUUCCAAGAAGGAGGGGGAAGGAAGGAGUGGGAGAGGGGGAAGGCAAGGGGGGCGCCGCCCCCCUUCCUUAUCCUAUUCGGACUCAAGGGGAGGGGGCGCGCCACUUGCCCUGGCCGGCCCCUCUCUCUCUCCAAUAGGGCCCAUCAAGGCNNNNNNNNNNNNNNNNNNNNNNNNNNNNNNNNNNNNNNNNNNNNNNNNNNNNNNNNNNNNNNNNNNNNNNNNNNNNNNNNNNNNNNNNNNNNNNNNNNNNNNNNNNNNNNNNNNNNNNNNNNNNNNNNNNNNNNNNNNNNNNNNNNNNNNNNCGGUAACCCUCCGGUACUCCGGUUUUCUCCGAAAACUCCCGGAACACUUCCGGUGUCCGAAUAUAGUCGUCCAAUAUAUCAAUCUUUAUGUCUCGACCAUUUCGAGACUCCUCGUCAUGUCCGUGAUCACAUCCGGGACUCCGAACAAACUUCGGUACAUCAAAACUUAUAAACUCAUAAUAAAACUGUCAUCGUAACGUUAAGCGUGCGGACCCUACGGGUUCGAAAACUAUGUAGACAUGACCUAGAACCAUUCUCGGUCAAUAACCAAUAGCGGGACCUGGAUGCCCAUAUUGGUUCCUACAUAUUCUAUGAAGAUCUUUAUCGGUCAAACCGCAUAACAACAUACGUUGUUCCCUUUGUCAUCGAUAUGUUACUUGCCCGAGAUUUGAUCGUCGGUAUCCAAUACCUAGUUCAAUCUUGUUACCGGCAAGUCUCUUUACUCGUUCCGUAAUACAUCAUCUCAUAACUAACUCAUUAGUUACAAUGCUUGCAAGGCUUAGGUGAUGAGUAUUACCGAGAGGGCCCAGAGAUACCUCUCCGACAAUCGGAGUGACAAAACCUAAUCUCAAAUUAUGCCAACCCAACAUGUACCUUCGGAGACACCUGUAGAGCACCUUUAUAAUCACCCAGUUACGUUGUGACGUUUGGUAGCACACAAAGUGUUCCUCCGGUAAACGGGAGUUGCAUAAUCUCAUAGUUGCAGGAACUUUGUAUAAGUCAUGAAGAAAGCAAUAGCAGUAUACUAAACGAUCAAGUGCUAGGCUAACGGAAUGGGUCAUGUCAAUCACAUCAUUCUCCUAAUGAUGUGCUCCCAUUAAUCAAAUGACAACACAUGUCUAUGGUUAGGAAACAUAACCAUCUUUGAUUAAUGAGCUAGUCAAGUAGAGGCAUACUAGUGACUAUAUGUUUGUCUAUGUAUUCACACAUGUAUCAUGUUUCCGGUUAAUACAAUUCUAGCAUGAAUAAUAAACAUUUAUCAUGAUAUGAGGAAAUAAAUAAUAACUUUAUUAUUGCAUCUAGGGCAUAUUUCCUUCAGUCUCCCACUUGCACUAGAGUCAAUAAUCUAGAUUACAUAGUAAUGAUUCUAACACCCAUGGAGUCUUGGUGCUGAUCAUGUUUUGCUCGUGAGAGAGGCUUAGUCAACGGGUCUGCAACAUUCAGAUCCGUAUGUAUCUUGCAAAUCUCUAUGUCUCCCACUUGGACUUGGUCCCGAAUGGAAUUGAAGCGUCUCUUGAUGUGCUUGGUCCUCUUGUGAAAUCUGGAUUCCUUUGCCAAGGCAAUUGCACCAGUAUUGUCACAGAAGAUCUUCAUCGGUCCCGAUGCACUAGGUAUGACACCUAGAUCGGAAAUGAACUCCUUCAUCCAGACUCCUUCAUUUGCUGCUUCCGAAGCAGCUAUGUACUCCGCUUCACAUGUAGAUCCCGCCACGACGCUUUGUUUAGAACUGCACCAACUUACAGCUCCACCGUUUAAUAAAAACACGUAUCCGGUUUGCGAUUUAGAAUCGUCCGGAUCAGUGUCAAAUCUUGCAUCGACGUAACCAUUUACGACUAGCUCUUUGUCACCUCCAUAUACGAGAAACAUAUCCUUAGUCCUUUUCAGGUAUUUCAGGAUGUUCUUGACCGAUGUCCAGUGAUCCACUCCUGGAUUACUUUGGUACCUUCCUGCCAAGCUUAUUGCUAAGCAUACGUCAGGUCUGGUACACAGCAUUGCAUACAUGAUAGAGCCUAUGGCUGAAGCAUAGGGAACAUUUUUCAUUUUCUCUCUAUCUUCUGCUGUGGUCGGGCAUUGAGUUUGACUCAACUUGACACCUUGAAGCACAGGCAAGAAACCUUUCUUUGCCUGAUCCAUUUUGAACUUUUUCAAAAUUUUGUCAAGGUAUGUGCUUUGUGAAAGUCCUAUUAAGCGUCUUGAUCUAUCUCUAUAGAUCUUGAUGCCCAAUAUGUAAGCAGCUUCACCGAGGUCUUUCAUUGAAAAACUUUUAUUCAAGUAUCCUUUUAUGCUAUCCAGAAAUUCUAUAUCAUUUCCAAUUAAUAAUAUGUCAUCUACAUAUAAAAUUAGAAAUGCUACAGAGCUCCCACUCACUUUCUUGUAAAUACAGGCUUCUCCAAAAGUCUGUAUAAAACCAUAUGCUUUGAUCACACUAUCAAAGCGUUUAUUCCAACUCCGAGAUGCUUGCACCAGUCCAUAAAUGGAACGCUGGAGCUUGCACACUUUGUCAGCACCUUUUGGAUCAACAAAUCCUUCCAGCUGCAUCAUAUACAACUCUUCUUCUAGAAAUCCAUUCAAGAAUGCAGUCUUGACAUCCAUUCGCCAAAUUUCAUAAUCAUGAAAUGCAGCAAUAGCUAACGUGAUUCGGACAGACUUAAGCAUCGCUACGGGUGAGAAAGUCUCAUCGUAGUCAACCCCUUGAACUUGUCGAAAACCUUUUGCAACAAGUCGAGCUUUAUAGACAGUUACAUUACCAUCAGCGUCAGUCUUCUUCUUAAAGAUCCAUUUAUUCUCAAUGGCUGGCCGAUCAUCGGGCAAGUCAACCAAAGUCCACACUUUGUUUUCAUACAUGGAUCCCAUCUCAGAUUUCAUGGCCUCUAGCCAUUUUGCGGAAUCUGGGCUCAUCAUCGCUUCCUCAUAGUUCGUAGGUUCAUCAUGGUCAAGUAACAUGACUUCCAGAAUAGGAUUACCGUACCACUCUAGUGCGGAUCUUACUCUGGAGGACCUACGAGGUUCAGUAGAAACUUGAUCCGAAGUUUCAUGAUCAUUAUCAUUAGCUUCCUCACUAAUUGGUGUAGUUGUCACAGGAACCGGUUCUCGUGAUGAACUACUUUCCAAUAAGGGAGUAGAUACAGUUAUCUCAUCAAGUUCUACUUUCCUCCCACUCACUUCUUUCGAGAGAAACUCCUUCUCUAGAAAGGAUCCAUUCUUAGCAACGAAUAUCUUGCCUUCGGAUCUGUGAUAGAAGGUGUACCCAACAGUCUCUUUUGGGUAUCCUAUGAAGACACAUUUCUCUGAUUUGGGUUCGAGCUUAUCUGGUUGAAGUUUCUUCACAUAAGCAUCGCAGCCCCAAACUUUAAGAAACGACAACUUUGGUUUCUUGCCAAACCACAGUUCAUAAGGCGUCGUCUCAACGGAUUUUGAUGGUGCCCUAUUUAACGUGAAUGCGGCCGUCUCUAAAGCAUAACCCCAAAACGAUAGCGGUAAAUCAGUAAGAGACAUCAUAGAUCACACCAUAUCAAGUAAAGUGCGAUUACGACGUUUAGACACACCAUUUCGUUGUGGUGUUCCAGGUGGCAUGAGUUGCGAAACUAUUCCACAUUGUUUCAAGUGUAGGCCAAACUCGUAACUCAAAUAUUCUCCUCCACGAUCAGAUCGUAGAAACUUUAUUUUCUUGUUACGAUGAUUUUCCACUUCACUCUGAAAUUCUUUGAAAUUUUCGAAUGUUUCAGACUUGUGUUUCAUCAAGUAGAUAUACCCAUAUCUGCUCAAAUCAUCUGUGAAGGUGAGAAAAUAACGAUACCCGCCGCGAGCCUCAACAUUCAUUGGACCACAAACAUCAGCAUGUAUGAUUUCCAACAAAUCAGUUGCUCGCUCCAUAGUUCCGGAGAACGGCGUUUUAGUCAUCUUGCCCAUAAGGCACGGUUCGCAAGUACCAAGUGAUUCAUAAUCAAGUGAUUGCAAAAGUCCAUCAGUAUGGAGUUUCUUCAUGCGCUUUACACCGAUAUGACCCAAACGGCAGUGCCACAAGUAAGUUGCACUAUCGUUAUCAACUCUGCAUCUUUUGGUUUCAACACUAUGAAUAUGUGUAUCACUACUAUCGAGAUUUAAUAAAAAUAGACCACUCUUCAAGGGUGCAUGACCAUAAAAGAUAUUACUCAUAUAAAUAGAACAACCAUUAUUCUCUGAUUUAAAUGAAUAACCGUCUCGCAUCAAACAAGAUCCAGAUAUAAUGUUCAUGCUCAACGCUGGCACCAAAUAACAAUUAUUUAGGUCUAAUACUAAUCCCAAAGGUAGAUGUAGAGGUAGCAUGACGACCGCGAUCACAUCGACUUUGGAACCGUUUCCCACGCGCAUCGUCACCUCGUCCUUGGCCAGUGCUCGCUUAUUCCGUAGUCCCUGUUUCGAGUUGCAAAUAUUAGCAACAGAACCAGUAUCAAAUACCCAGGUGCUACUACGAGCUCUAGUUAGGUACACAUCAAUAACAUGUAUAUCACAUAUACCUUUGUUUACUUUGCCAUCCUUCUUAUCCGCCAAAUACUUGGGGCAGUUCCGCUUCCGGUGACCAGUCUGCUUGCAGUAGAAGCACUCAGUUUCAGGCUUAGGUCCAGACUUGGGUUUCUUCUCUUGAGCAGCAACUUGCUUGCUGUUCUUCUUGAAGUUCCCCUUCUUCUUCCCUUUGCCCUUUUUCUUGAAACUAGUGGUCUUGUUGACCAUCAACACUUGAUGCUCCUUCUUGAUUUCUACCUCCGCAGCUUUUAGCAUUGCGAAGAGCUCGGGAAUAGUCUUGUUCAUCCCUUGCAUAUUAUAGUUCAUCACAAAGCUCUUGUAGCUUGGUGGCAGUGAUUGGAGAAUUCUGUCAAUGACGCUAUCAUCUGGAAGAUUAACUCCCAGUUGAAUCAAGUGAUUAUUAUACCCAGACAUUUUGAGUAUAUGCUCACUGACAGAACUAUUCUCCUCCAUCUUGCAGCUAUAGAACUUAUUGGAGACUUCAUAUCUCUCAAUCCGGGCAUUUGCUUGAAAUAUUAACUUCAACUCCUGGAACAUCUCAUAUGCUCCAUGACGUUCAAAACGUCGUUGAAGGCCAGGUUCUAAGCCGUAAAGCAUGGCACACUGAACUAUAGAGUAGUCAUCAGCUUUGCUCUGCCAGACGUUCUUAACGUCAUUAGUUGCAUCAGCAGCAGGCCUGGCACCCAGCGGUGCUUCCAGGACGUUACUUUUCUGUGCAGCAAUGAGGAUAAUCCUCAGGUUACGGACCCAGUCCGUGUAAUUGCUACCAUCAUCUUUCAACUUUGCUUUCUCAAGGAACGCAUUAAAAUUCAACGGAACAACAGCACGAGCCAUCUAUCUACAAACAAACAUAGACAAGCAAAAUACUAUCAGGUACUAAGUUCAUGAUAAAUUUAAGUUCAAUUAAUCAUAUUACUUAAGAACUCCCACUUAGACAGACAUCUCUCUAGUCAUCUAAGUGAUUACGUGAUCCAAAUCAACUAAACAAUGACCGAUCAUCACGUGAGAUGGAGUAGUUUUCAAUGGUGAAUAUCACUAUGUUGAUCAUAUCUACUAUAUGAUUCACGCUCGACCUUUCGGUCUCCGUGUUCCGAGGCCAUAUCUGCAUAUGCUAGGCUCGUCAAGUUUAACCUGAGUAUUCCGCGUGUGCAAAACUGGCUUGCACCCGUUGUAGAUGGACGUAGAGCUUAUCACACCCGAUCAUCACGUGGUGUCUGGGCACGACGAACUUUGGCAACGGUGCAUACUCAGGGAGAACACUUCUUGAUAAUUUUAGUGAGAGAUCAUCUUAAAAUGCUACCGUCAAUCAAAGCAAGAUAAGAUGCAUAAAGGAUAAACAUCACAUGCAAUCAAUAUAAGUGAUAUGAUAUGGCCAUCACCAUCUUGUGCUUGUGAUCUCCAUCUCCGAAGCACCGUCGUGAUCAGCAUCGUCACCGGCGCGACACCUUGAUCUCCAUCGUAGCAUCGUUGUCGUUUACGCCAUCUAUUGCUUCUACGACUAUCGCUACCGCUUAGUGAUAAAGUAAAGCAAUUACAGGGCGUUUGCAUUUCAUACAAUAAAGCGACAACCAUAUGGCUCCUGCCAGUUGCCGAUAACUUCGGUUACAAAACAUUAUCAUCUCAUACAAUAAAAUAUAGCAUCACGUCUUGGCCAUAUCACAUCACAACAUGCCCUGCAAAAACAAGUUAGACGUCCUCUACUUUGUUGUUGCAAGUUUUACGUGGCUGCUACGUGGCUGAGCAAGAACCGUUCUUACCUACGCAUCAAAAACCACAACGAUGGUUCGUCAAGUUGGUGUUGUUUUAACCUUCACAAGGACCCGGCGUAGCCACACUCGGGUCAACUAAAGUUGGAGAAACUGACACCCGCCAGCCACCUGUGUGCAAAGCACGUCGGUAGAACCAGUCUCGCGUAAGGGUACGCGUAAUGUCGGUCCGGGCCGCUUCAUCCAACAAUACCGCCGAACCAAAGUAUGCCAUGCUGGUAAGCAGUAUGACUUGUAUCGCCCACAACUCACUUGUGUUCUACUCGUGCAUAUAACAUCAACGCAUAAAACCUAGGCUCUGAUACCACUGUUGGGGAACAUAGUAAUUUCAAAAAAAUUCCUACGCACACGCAAGAUCAUGGUGAUGGCAUAGCAACGAGAGGGGAGAGUGUUCGUCCACGUACCCUCGUAGACCGUAAGCGGAAGCGUUAGCACAACGCGGUUGAUGUAGUCGUACGUCUUCACGAUCCGACCGAUCCAAGCACCGAACGUAAGGGGCCUCCGAGUUCAGCACACGUUCAGCUCGAUGACGAUCUCCGGCCUCCGAUCCAGCCGAGCUCCGGAGAUGAGUUCCGUCAGCACGACGGCGUGGUGACGAUGAUGAUGUUCUACCGGCACAGGGCUUCGCCUAAACUCCGCGACGAUAUGACCGAGGUGGAAUAUGGUGGAGGGGGGCACCACACACGGCUAGGAACGAUCCGUAGAUCAACUUCUGUGUCUAUGGGGUGCCCCCCGCCCCCGUAUAUAAAGGGGGAGAGGAGGAGGGGGCCGGCCUAAGGGGAGGCGCGCCCUAGGAGGGGGAAACCUACUCCAAGUAGGUUUCCCCCCUCCCUUUCCUAUUCCAAGGAGGAGGGGGAAGGAAGGAGUGGGAGAGGGGGAAGGCAAGGGGGGCGCCGCCCCCCCUUCCUUGUCCUAUUCGGACUCAAGGGGAGGGGGCGCGCCACUUGCCCUGGCCGGCCCCUCUCUCUCUCCAAUAGGGCCCAUCAAGGCCCAUUACUUCCCGGGGGGGGGGGGGUUCCGGUAACCCUUUGGUACUCCGGUUUUCUCCGAAAACUCCCGGAACACUUCCGGUGUCCGAAUAUAGUCGUUCAAUAUAUCAAUCUUUAUGUCUCGACCAUUUCGAGACUCCUCGUCAUGUACGUGAUCACAUCCGGGACUCCGAACAAACUUCGGUACAUCAAAACUUAUAAACUCAUAAUAAAACUGUCAUCAUAACGUUAAGCGUGCGGACCCUACGGGUUCGAGAACUAUGUAGACAUGACCUAGAACCAUUCUCGGUCAAUAACCAAUAGCGGGACCUGGAUGCCCAUAUUGGUUCCUACAUAUUCUAUGAAGAUCUUUAUCGGUCAAACCGCAUAACAACAUACGUUGUUCCCUUUGUCAUCGGUAUGUUACUUGCCCGAGAUUUGAUCGUCGGUAUCCAAUACCUAGUUCAAUCUCGUUACCGGCAAGUCUCUUUAUCGUUCCGUAAUACAUCAUCUCAUAACUAACUCAUUAGUUACAAUGCUUGCAAGGCUUAGGUGAUGAGUAUUACCGAGAGGGCCCAGAGAUACCUCUCCGACAAUCGGAGUGACAAAACCUAAUCUCGAAUUAUGCCAACCCAACAUGUACCUUCGGAGACACCUGUAGAGCACCUUUAUAAUCACCCAGUUAUCUUGUGACGUUUGGUAGCACACAAAGUGUUCCUCCGGUAAAACGGAAUUGCAUAAUCUCAUAGUUGCAGGAACUUUGUAUAAGUCAUGAAGAAAGCAAUAGCAGUAUACUAAACGAUCAAGUGCUAGGCUAACAGAAUGGGUCAUGUCAAUCACAUCAUUCUCCUAAUGAUGUGAUCUCAUUAAUCAAAUGACAACACAUGUCUAUGGUUAGGAAACAUAACCAUCUUUGAUUAAUGAGCUAGUCAAGUAGAGGCAUACUAGUGACUAUAUGUUUGUCUAUGUAUUCACACAUGUAUCAUGUUUCUAGUUAAUACAAUUCUAGCAUGAAUAAUAAACAUUUAUCAUGAUAUGAGGAAAUAAAUAAUAACUUUAUUAUUGCCUCUAGGGCAUAUUUCCUUCAUAAGCCCGGUGAGACUAGGAGAUAAAAGAAGAAUUUCUUUUCGGAGUAAUGCACCGGCAUUGGGAUGAAGUUCAGAGAAGGGAAACUUGGUCUCAUAAAAUACCACAUCUCGUGAAAUGUAGACACGGCCAGUAGAGACGUCAAGACACUUCACCCCCUUGUGUUGAGCACUAUACCCAAGAAAAACACACUGUUUUGAGCGAAACAUUAGUUUGCGUGUGUUGUAAGGACGGAGAUUUGGCCAACAUGCACACCCAAAGACACAAAGUGAUGUAUAAUCUGGUUUGACAUGAAGUAGUCUUUCGAUGGGAAUUUCAUUGUUUAUGACACGACUUGGAAGCAUGUUGAUAAUGUGUGCGCCAGUGAGGAAGGCCUCAUCCCAGAAUUUCAGUGGCAUUGAGGCACCUGCUAGGAGAGCUAAACCAACUUCGACUAUGUGCCUAUGCUUGCGCUCAACUGACCCAUUUUGUUGGUGAGCAUGGGGGCAUGGCACAUGAUGAGAAAUGCCAAGUGUUUGGAAGAAGGAAUUGAGUUUCUCAUAUCCCCCCAGUCGGAUUGGACAUCAAUUAUUUUGCUAUCAAACUUGCGUUCAACGAGUGCUUGGAAGUUUUUAAAUACUUGAAACACUUUGGAUCUUUUCUUAAGAAGAUAGAUCCAAGAAAACUUGCUAUAGUCAUCAAUGAAGCUAACAUAGUAUGUGUGUCUCCCAAUAGAGCUAGGGGCAGGACCCCAAACAUCAGAAAAUAUCAAUUGCAAAGGUUUAGUAGAGACACUUGUAGAGAUGGGAUAAGGCAAUUGAUGACAUUUUGCUCUUUGGCAAGAAUCACAAAUAGUAUCAACAUUACGCUCACCAACAAACGGGAGCUUAUUCUUCCUAAGCAAACGUUCAACUAAGGAAAAAGAGGCAUGUCCUAGACGAUUGUGCCAUCAUGUGGACGAAAUCUUGAUAGCACCACAAGCUUGUUUAUUGUAUCUUCGAAACUCUGAAAUCAACGGGUAAAGUCCUCGAAUGCAUCUACCUCGAUAGAGAUUUUUCCUUGUGGCCUGAUCCUUGAUCAAGAAGAAAAAGGGAUGAAACUCAAUGAAAACAUUUUAUCAAUGGUGAUGCGAUGAACGGACAGAAGGUUUUUGUUGGCACUAGGAACAUGCAAAAUUUUACGAAGAUGGAUCUUACGGGAAGGGGUACGAAAAACUGAAUGACCUAUGUGACGGAUCCUCAUACCUGCACCGCUGGUGGUGUGGAUCUGAUACUUCCCAUGAUACUUCUCGCAGAGAGUCACUUUCUCCAGCUCGCCCGUGAGAUGAUUGGUGGCGCCGCUGUCGAGAUACCAGUUGGUACCCACGCCAUAUGCUCCCUUCGCGGCUACGACCACCUUGUCAUCCUCUUCAGAAGAUGCAUCAUACUCAUCGAACCUGUACCAGCAGUCCUUGGCCAUGUGGCCAGGCUUGCCGCGGAUCUGACAACGGACAACAUCGGGGAGGGACUUGCCAUAGCCACCACGGCGUCCCUUGGUGUUGGUGGAGUUGGGGCGCCCAGAGCGAGGGCUGGAGUUGAUGGAGUUGCUGGGACUGCCGUGCUUGCCCUUGGACGAGGAGGACCGCGGUGGUGUGGGGAGAGCCACUACGUCCACGCAUGGCCGCGUUUGCAGAGGACUUGAAGCCGCCACCGAAGUUCUGGAACUGGGCCACGCGCUGAUCGAAGUUGCUGAGCAUGGCAAAGAGCUCAUUGAGGGAGACGAGCGUGACGCGGGCAUCGAGGGACGAGACAAGGGGCUGGUAGUCCAUGUCUAGCCCAUGGAUGAUGUAGGAGAUCAGCUCAUCAUCCUGGAUGGCUUUGCCGACCGAGGCAAGCUCAUAGGCGAGGCCACGCAUGGAGGCGAAGUAGGCGGCGACAGAUUGAUUACCCUUCUGGGCAUUGAUGAGGGCGGUGUGGAUGUUGUUGACGCCGCUCAAGGACUGCGACGAAAACAUACCCUCCAGCGCCCUCCAGAGCGCGUGCGCGGUGGUGAUUGCGGUCUCCAUGACGAGCACCUCUUUGGAAAGGUUGCUGAGCAGGAAGCCGAGCACCUGCUGGUCCUCCUGACCCAGAUGGGGUGGAGAGGGUUGGGCUCAGAAGUCUUCUUGCUGUCCUUAUUCUUGGUGACGAUAAGACUAGUUGGUUCCUGCAUGGUGCCGUCCGCAUAGCCAAAGAGACCGGCCCCUCUCAGCUGGGGCGUGAUCUGUGUCCGCCAUAGCACAUAAUUUGUGUAGCAGAGCUUACCUGGCCGUUUAGGCUUGAGUGGGAGGUGGCGGAGUAGGAAGACAUGGAGGCUAUUGCUACUGGAACCCUAGAUGAGUUUGGAAGAGGCAGCUUUGAUUACCAUGUGCGAAUAGGCAGAAGCGUCUUACCUCGAUGAGAGGGACGCGUUACGUGUUAUAUAAUCAGGGGCGUACCUCCCUGGCAACAGCACAUACAAUGUAGUUGGAGAUCUUCUAGGAAGAUAAGGAGAUUACAUCUUUGAGAACAAGAGAUAAGACAGAGAGAGAUUACAAAGAGGUAUUCGGUUACAACCUACUCUAUAUCUCCUAACGAUGUACGCUACCAGGUAUGCGCCACACAUACGUGACACAUCAUUAUAUGUGUUUGACAAUUGAGACAAAGAAGAUGAGAUAAGGGUGGCUUAAUGGUGAAUCAGAAAAUUCAAACACUGCACAAAACAAAAGAAACUGAAGGAAAUUAUGGAGAUACCUUUGAAAUUACGCAUCUUUGCGUGGCGGCUUGCCGUUCAUCUCUUCAAACAGGUCAGAAGCAUGCGUGCUAGCAUAAGGGAAUGUUUGCCACUUGUGAGAUUUGAAAUGAUGACAUUGACUAGUGCCGCCAUGCCCUUUUUGACCGCAACAUGCCAAGGGCAGUAUGGGCUUUACCGGAGAUGACGUUGUCGCGUGCCUUUAAUCGGGCGCUAAAACCCUUGAAACAAAACUUUGGCUCUUUAACAUGUCAAAUACGCUAAGAUAGGAGCAGUUCAUCAAAGUACUGGUAAUAAUUUGGGGUAUUUGGUAUGCAAGGCAGAAGGCUAUACAUCAGCACGAGUUUCAGAGUCCCCUAUUUACUCACUUAUUUAUUACGAGGUAUUUGGAGGAGGUGGGAGGAUCUAUUCCUAGUAUCCAGAGGCAAGGAUCUUCGAGUGCUUCAACAUGCAUCCAGUUCAAGUGGCAAUAGUUGGUGCCGGAAUUCUCAAAAAUCUAUGUUGAAUAAAUGUGUUGUUGGAGUUUCUUGUAGAGAUGACCAUGAACAUUUCUCAAAGCGUCGAUUGUCAUUUUAUAUGGGAGGUCGAAUCCCGAAACUACUGAAGCUUUUGCAUGUCGGGAAGCAUUAAUUUUGAUGCAAGAAUUGCAGCUAUACGAAAGAUUACCAUAGCUACUGUCUGAGAGUCAUCACCAAGCUCAAGUCCACCAAUCAGCAGUGAGAGUAUUGCAUGAUUGCAAAGGAGAUAAAUUCCCGAAACCCCAGUUUUUAGGCAUGUGAUAUAUGCCACGAACAGCGGGAGAACAACAUUGAGGCUCAUUGCUUAGGGCAUUUCUAACCGAUCCCCUAUCCGGCGUUAGUGGUGGAUAAAUUCGAUUUUACUCCCUUAUAUCGCACCUAGCCGAUCCCCUAAAGCGUAUAGGGGAGGAUAAAUUUUACUCCGACCACUAUCCAACCCCUAAAUAUACUUCGUCUAGAUGCGUCCGAGGAUAAAUUUUCUUCAUGCAAAGGCCUCCUUGUGGACGUGUAAGUGCAUCUAGUGCCGCCCCUAGUUGGUUUUCGAGUAUUGACGACAAACCUGGUUGAGGGACUAAUGUGUUUGUGAGAAUUGCAGGAUAACAUAGGUAGUAGUCCCUCAUUGAUUAGGUUUACCUACCGGAGAUGACCCCUAAAAAUGUGUGAAGACAUUGAAGACAAUGGUGGUAUGUGAAGAUAUUCACAAUAAAGAUUAUGACUUGAGAAGACAUUCACGUGAAGACUAUGGAGUACGAAGACAUAGCUGUUUCGUAGCUUCCUUUUCUUCUUUGUUGGGUCAUAGGAACCACCGUACUGUUAAGUGGGGUCCAAGUGAACAAAGUCAAAGUGACUGAAGUGAUGCUCAACCAAAUCGUAUGUCUUUGAGCGAAGACAAUGCGAGCAAAUCUUAUCCAGAGUCGAAUAAGUCAGCUUUACUUGUAGCCCAAGUCAAGCUGCCGUGUUUGUUUGAAAUCUGACCGUUGGAACAAGUGUCAGUUCCUUAGUGACUCAGGGUCAUUUCGGACAAAUCAGGUCGGGUUGCCUCCUGGCUAUAAAUAGCCCACCCCCUACAUUAUAAAUUGGUGGCUGCUCAGAGUUAGUACACAACUUUUGUCGUUUGAGAGCAACCCACCUCCAAAGCAUUUGAGAGAGAGAUCCUUGCGAGGACAAAGCCCAAAACACCCAGAGCCUAAAGAAUGUUUGGUAUCACUGAAGUCUUUCUGUCUGCGUGACCUGAAGACUUGUUACACUUGAGGACUGUGAAUCCUCCAGCCUGUAAGGCGUCGCAUUCUGAGCAUCCAAGACUCAUUGUGGAUUGCCGGCGAAUGAAGUCUGUGAAGGUUUGGAAGUCUACCUUGAAGACUUACCAGAGUGAUUGGGCGGGGACUAGGUGUUCUUUGCUCAAGGGGAAUAAGGUGAAGACACGGUCUUCUGAGUUGAAUCUCAGUCUCCCUAACCAUAUGUACAGUUGUUACAGCAACUGGAACUGGUCCAACAAAUCCUUGUCUUCACUGAGCAACUAGUUCUAUCUCUUCCAUCACUUAUUUACUGUUUGUCUUCAUGAAGUCUCUUGCUUACUUAUCUUAUCUGUUUGACUUCACUGAGUGACGACUAUUGUGGUUUGGUUUCAUACUUUGUUCCAUCUUGAUCCAUUCUACCUAGCUGCUAAUAGUCUUUGUGCUUUUGUUUCAUUACUUGCUUGACUAUGGUUUGUCUAGUGUAGUCUACCUUCCGCUGCAUGUUAAUAGGUUCAUUUCUAUUGAUUGUCUUUGAAACUUCCAUGUUUUGAAGACUUUCAUAAAAAUCGCCUAUUCACCCCCCCUCUAGUCGAUAACUAGCACUUUCAAUUGGUAUUAGAGCGAGGUACUCCCUUGUUCUGUAUUUAACCACCUGGAGUUUUAGCUAUGUCGACUGCAGGGAUAAUCAAGGUCUCCGCUGCGUGCCCUGUCUUCGAUGGCACUGAUUACCCCUACUGGAAGAAUAAGAUGCGUAUGCAUCUUGAAGCCAUUGAUGUCGACCUCUGGUAUAUCGUCAAGAACAACGUUCCCAAGACCGGUGAAGGUGUCACCCCUGCUGAUGUCAAGAAGUUUGUUCAACUAGAUUCUACUGCCAAGAACAUCAUCUGUGGUCAUCUAACAAAAGGACAAUAUGGCUGUGUGAGUGCUCUAGAAACGUCGAAGCUAGUCUAGGACUCGCUCUCCAAGGUCAACGAAGGUGUCUCAACCCAGAGAGAUCAAAGGAUUAGUGUCCUUCGCAACCUCUUCAACCGCUUCAAGAGAAACGACAAUGAGAAUGUCCCGCUCACGUUUGAUCGCCUCACUGAAAUCACAAAUGAGCUUCAUGCCCUGGGCGCCACUGAGAUCACCAAGCAUGAAAUCGUCAAGACACUCCUGAGAUCACUUGAUAGCUCGUUUGACACCCUAGCCCUGAUGAUUCAAGAACGCCCCGACUUCAAGACACUCGAUCCAUCUGAAAUACUUGAGAGGCUCAAGACACAUGAGUUUCAGCUAUCUGAGAAAAGAGAUAUCUAUGGUCCCAACUAUGGCCGAACUCGUGCUUUGAAGGCAAAGGUUGUUUCCUCAUCUGAAGAAGAAUCUGACUGCAGUUCUGGUGAUCCUGAAGCAUUGGAAAGGAGCUUGAUAUGCUUGUGAAGAAGUUCCAGAAAUUCACUAACAAGAAAGGCUUCAGAAAAUCUUCACGAUCCAACUCAAGAAAUGAUGAAGCUUCUACUCAUGACCACAAGAAGAGAACAUGCCACAACUGCAAGAAACCUGGUCACUACAUCUCUGAGUGUCCGCAGUGGGACAAUGAAAACAACAACAAGAAGAAGAGCAAGGAAUAUGAUUCUGAUGACAAGAAGAAGAAGAAAUCCUCAAAGUCUUCUUCCAAGUCUUCAUCACACAAGAAGAGCUCAUCUGGCAAGGCUCGUGCUUUUGUUGGCAAGGAGAUGGAUUCAGAGGAGGAGUCUGCUUCUGAGGAGGCGGAGGUGGAGUCUGAGGAGGAGUCCGACUCUGGCAUUGCAAGUCUGGCUCUAGCCACAGCCUACGUUGCCAAGUCCAUCUUCAACAUUGAAGACAAUGGCUCAAUCACCAACGUUGGUGCUAAUGACAAGGACGGGCUCCGUCACCAACACUGGUGCUAAUGACAAGGACGACUCCGCUCCCACCUACUGCUUCAUGGCAUGUGGUGCCAAGGUAAACUCACGUGAUGCUUACUUUCAAACAUCAAGUGAAGAUGACUCUGAUUGUGAAUCCAAACCCAACUACAAAACACUUGCUAAAAUCGCAACUAAACAACAGAAAGCUAUGGAACAUAUUCAAAAAUUGUUAGAUAAAAGCGAUGACCUGUUGGAUGCGGAAAUGACCCGAUCUCAGUCUUUAAUUGAAGACAUAAAAAAUCUUCAUGUUAAGUAUGAGGAACUUGAAAGUCGUCAUGAAACGCUCUCAACAACUCAUGAAAAUCUUUCCUAUGAUUAUCUUCAAAGGAAGAAAGAACUUGAGAAAUUGAGAGCAGUUCAUGAAGAUCUUCAAAAAGAAAACGAGUCACUUCGCGCUCAACUGAUCAGUCCCGCUCAGGAAGGAUUUGAACCACCAUGUCUAAAAUGCCUUGAGCGUGAUAACACUACUUCUAUUGCUGAAUGUUCUACUGCUACUACUAUUGCAAUAUCUUCAACUGUUGAUGUGGUAACUAACCCCUCUGCUGAGGAUGCCACUUCUAUUGCUGAUGAAAAUGCUAGGUUGAAGACAUUGCUUGAGACAGGGAUGUACAAAAGUCUCAAAGGGCAUCAGACACUAUGUGAUGUCCUCAAAAAGCAGAUUCUGAGCCGGAACCCUAGGAGAGAGGGUGUUGGGUUCGAGAGGAAAAUGAAUGUUGAUGGUUCUUACUGGAAGACUGAGCAGUACCCCAAAACUACAUGGGUUACUGCAAAGGGACCUUUAGUGGACCCAUCCACCUUAUCUGGCUUCCAUUGUGCUAACCCAAUUGUCAUUGAUGAAUCCUUUGAUGCAAACUAUAAAUUGUUUAAGAAUCAUACUGGUGAAGUGUUUGCUAGGUACAUUGGUACUAACUGCAGGAAUGGACCGCCUAUGAAGAAGAUCUGGGUACCCAAAAGUUGUCUUGAGAAUCUUCCUGUGAAUGUCAUCAUGACACCACAAGGGAAGAAGACAAACUCCAGACCAAAGGCUUCAUAUGGCCCAAAGGCUUCAUAUAGACAGAGGACUCACCCGAGUCACCCUAAUGCCAAUGUUUUGCGGGGCAAUCAUACUCAUAUGUAUGAAUAUGCGCACGUUUCUUCAAACCGCUAUGUUCAUAAACUAAGAACUUUUUUGCUUAUUCACAUGAGUAUAUUCACCUCCUACAAGGCUAUUUGCUAGGGCUCCAAAGCCGAAUUUCUCAUAUGCUGCACUUAGACUCAUCGCUUCGAAGCCACCCCUGAAAAUGUGGGUGGUUAAGAAGACUUAACUCUCUUUUGCAGGGAAAGGUCUCCAGCCAGAAAUCAAAGGCAUCUGAUGCUAUUGCUAGGGACCUAAAACAUCUUGUGGGGCUCAAGAUAAAAUGCCCAAAUGGUCUUACUAUGUAUUUUGUUCCUGAAUCGCUUGCCAACCAUCCUAUCAGUCCUAACCUUGAUCUAAGCUUUGAUAAUCCUCUUGUCCAUCAAAUGUUUAUGCUUCACAAUACUCUUGGUGAAGCCUAUCCCCCUAACUGUACUAUAGGGUAUGACACCACAUGCUUCAGAAUUGAUUAUGGACAAUGGAUGCACUAAUCAUAUGACUGGUGGUCGAAGUUUUCUGAUGGACUCGACCUUACGUUCAUCUCACAAGAGCCACAUCACAUUUGCUGACACUGGUAAAAGUAAGGUAUUGGGUCUAGGUAGAGUUGCAAUCUCAAAGGAUCAGCACAUGGAUAAAGUGAUGCUUGUUGAAUCCCUUGGUUUCAACUUAAUGUCUGUCUCAAUGCUUUGUGACUUGAACAUGAUUGUGAUAUUUGGAAAGUAUCGUUGCCUUGUUCUAAUGGAAUCUGACAAGUCUCUAGUCUUUGAAGGGUAUCGGAAAGAUGAUUUGUACAUGGUAGAUUUCUCAGCAGGACCACAGCUAGUCGUAUGUCUUCUAGCAAAAGCUUCAGAGUGCUGGCUCUGGCAUCAGAGGCCAGGGCAUGCUGGCAUGAGGAACUUGUACACUCUCGCGAAGAAGAAACACGUCGUAGGCAUCGAAGGCGUCAAGUUCAAGAAAGAUCAUCAGUGUGGUGCCUGCGAAGCUGGAAAGAUGACAAGGGCCAAGCAUCCCUCGAACACAAUUAUGACGUCAGUGUUGGGGAUUGUUGUAGAAAUUAAAAAAAUUCUACGCAUCACCAAGAUCAAUCUAUGGAGUAACUAGCAACAAGAGAUAGGGGAGUGCAUCUUCAUACCCUUGAAGAUCGCGAGUCGGAAGCGUUACAAGAACACCGAUGAAGCAGUCGUACUCGUAGCGAUUCAGAUCGCGGUGGAUUCUGAUCUAAGCGCCGAACAACGGCACCUCCGCGUUCGACACACGUGCAGCCCGAUGACGUCUCCUGCACCUUGAUACAGCAAGGAGGAGGGAGAGGUUGAGGAAGAUAGCUCCAGCAGCAGCACGACGACGUGGUGGUGAUGGAGUGGCAGUUCUCCGGCAGGGCUUCGCCAAACUCACGCGGAGGAGGAGAGGUGUUGGGGAGGGGAGGGGCUGCACCUUGGAUGUGGUGCUGCAGCCCUCCCUCCACCCCUCUAUUUAUAGGGAGAAGGGGGAAGGGGGGCGUCCCCUCUAGAUGAGAUCUAGAGGGGGGCGGCGGCCAAGGGGGAGGGGGCUUGCCCCCCAAGCAAGGGGAGCGCCCCCUUUAGGGUCCCCCCAAACCCUAGGCGCAUGGGCCCUAGGGGGGAUGGCGCCCAGCCCACUUAGGGGAUGGUUCCCUUUCACCUACAACCCAUAAGGCCCUUCGGGGCAGGUGGACCCUCUCGGUGGACCCUCGAAACCCCUCCGGUGGUCCCGGUACAAUACCGGUAUACCCCCGAAUAUUUCCGGUGACCGUAUGAUGACUUCCCAUAUAUAAAUCUUCACCUCCGGACCAUUCCGGAACUCCUCGUGACAUCCAGGAUCUCAUCCGGGACUCCGAAAAACAUUCGGUGAUCACAUACAAAUCUUCCUUAUAACCCUAGCGUCAUCGAACCUUAAGUGUGUAGACCCUACGGGUUCGGGAAUCAUGCAGACACGACCGAGACAGCUCUCUGGCCAAUAACCAACAGCGAGAUCUGGAUACCCAUGUUGGCUCCCACAUGUUCCACGAUGAUCUCAUCGGAUGAACCACGAUGUCGAGGAUUCAAGUAAUCCCGUAUACAAUUCCCUUUGUCAAUCGGAAUGUUACUUGCCCGAGAUUCGAUCGUCGGUAUCCUAAUACCUCAUUCAAUCUCGUUACCGGCAAGUCACUUUGCUCAUUCCAUAAUGCAUGAUCCCUUAACCAACUACUUAGUCACAUUGAGCUCAUUAUGAGGAUGCAUUACCGAGUGGGCCCAGAGAUACCUCUCCGUCAUACGGAGUGACAAAUCCCAGUCUCGAUUCGUACCAACUCAACGGACACUUUCGGAGAUACCUGUAGUGCACCUUUAUAGCCACCCAGUUACGUUGUGCCGUUUGGUACACCCAAAGCAUUCCUAUGGUAUCCGGGAGUUGCACGGUCUCAUGGUCUAAGGAAAUGAUACUUGACAUUAGAAAAGCUUUAGUAAACGAACUACACAAUCUUGUGCUAUGCUUAGGAUUGGGUCUUGUCCAUCACAUCAUUCUCCUAAUGUUGUGAUCCCGUUAUCAAUGACAUCCAAUGUCCAUAGUCAGGAAACCAUGACCAUCUGUUGAUCAACGAGCUAGUCAACUAGAGGCUCACUAGGGACAUGUUGUGGUCUAUGUAUUCACACAUGUACUACGGUUUCCGAUCAAUACAAUUAUAGCAUGAAUGAUAGACAAUUAUCAUGAACAAGGAAAAUAAUAAUAACCAUUUUAUUAUUGCCUCUAGGGCAUAUUUCCAACAGUCUCCCACUUGCACUAGAGUCAGUAAUCUAGUUACAUUGUGAUGAAUCGAACACCCAUAGAGUUCUGGCGUUGACCAUGUUUUGCUCGUGGAAGAGGUUUAGUCAACGGAUCUGUGACAUUCAGAUCCGUAUGCACUUUACAAAUAUCUAUGUCUCCAUCUUGAACAUUUUCACGAAUGGAGUUGAAGCGACGCUUGAUGUGUCUGGUCUUCUUGUGAAACCUGGGCUCCUUGGCAAGGGCAAUAGCUCCAGUGUUGUCACAGAAGAGAGUCAUCGGGCCCGACGCAUUGGGAAUAACUCCUAGGUCGGUAAUGAACUCCUUCAUCCAGAUUGCUUCAUGUGCUAGCCCCUGAGGCUACCAUGUACUCCGCUUCACAUGUAGAUCCCGCCAUGACGCUUUGCUUGCAACUGCACCAGCUUACUGCCCCACCAUUCAAAAUAUACACGUAUCUGGUUUGUGACUUGGAGUCAUCCAGAUCUGUGUCGAAGCUAGCAUCGACAUAACCCUUUACGACGAGCUCUUCGUCACCUUCAUAAAUGAGAAACAUAUCCUUAGUCCUUUUCAGGUACUUCAGGAUAUUCUUGACCGCUAUCCAUUCUUCCAUGCCGGGAUUACUUUGGUACCUCCCUACCAAACUUACGGCAAGGUUUACAUCAGGUCUGGUACACAACAUGGCAUACAUAAUAGACCCUAUGGCUGAGGCAUAGGGGAUGACACUCAUCUUUUCUCUAUCUUCUGCCGUGGUCGGGCUUUGAACCAAGCUCAAUUUCACACCUUGCAAUACAGGCAAGAACCCCUUCUUGGACUGUUCCAUAUUAAACUUCUUCAAUAUCUUAUCAAGGUAUGUGCUUUGUGAAAGACCUAUGAGGCGUCUCGAUCUAUCUCUAUAGAUCUUGAUGCCUAAUGUGUAAGCAGCUUCUCCAAGGUCCUUCAUUGAAAAACAUUUAUUCAAGUAGGCCAUUAUGCUUUCCAAAAGUUCUAUAUCAUUUCCCAUCAAUAGUAUGUCAUCCACAUAUAAUAUGAGAAAUCCUACAGAGCUCCCAGUCACUUUCUUGUAAACGCAGGCUUCUCCAUAAGUCUGCAUAAACCCAAACGCUUUGAUCAUUUCAUCAAAGCGAAUGUUCCAACUCCGAGAUGCUUGCACCAUCCCAUAGAUGGAGCGCUGGAGCUUGCAUACCUUGUUAGCAUUCUUAGGAUCGACAAAACCUUCCGGCUGCAUCAUAUACAAUUCUUCCUUAAUGUAGCUAUUAAGGAAUGCCGUUUUGACGUCCAUUUUCCAUAUUUCAUAAUCAUAGAAUGUGGCAAUUGCUAACAUGAUUCGGACGGACUUUAGCUUCGCUACGGGUGAGAAGGUCUCAUCGUAGUCAACCCCUUGAACUUGUCGAUAACCCUUAGCGACAAGUCGAGCCUUAUAGAUGGUAACAUUACCAUCCGCGUUCGUCUUCUUCUUAAAGAUCCAUUUAUUUUCUAACGCUCGCCGAUCAUCGGGCAAGUCUGUCAAAGUCCAUACUUUGUUUUCAAACAUGGAUCCUAUCUUGGAUUGCAUGGCUGAUACGUCUCCAACGUAUCUAUAAUUUUUGAUUGCUCCAUGCUACUUUAUCUACUGUUUUGGACUAUAUUGGGCUUUAUUUUCCACUUUUAUAUUACUUUUGGGACUAACCUAUUAACCGGAGGCCUAGCCCAGAAUUGCUGUUUUUUUCCUUUUUCAGUAUUUCGAAGAAACAGAAUAUCAAACGGAGUCCAAACGGAAUGAAACCUUCGGGAUCGUGAUUUUCCAACCGAACGUGAUCAGGAGACUUGGACCCUACUCCAAGAAGUGUCCGAGGAGGUCACGAGGGUGGAGGGUGCGCCCCACUGGGCGCGCCCCGUACCUCGUGGGCCCCUCGGAGCUCCACCGACGUACUCCUUCCUCCUAUAUAUACCUACGUAUCCCCAAACGAUCAAAACAUGAGCCAAAAACCUAAUUCCACCGCCGCAACCUUCUGUAUCCACGAGAUCCCAUCUUGGGGCCUGUUUCGGAGCUCCGCCGGAGGGGGCAUCCACCAUGGAGGGCUUCUACAUCAACACCAUAGCCCCUCCAAUGAAGUGUGAGUAGUUUACUUCAGACCUUCGGGUCCAUAGCUAGUAGCUAGAUGGCUUCUUCUCUCUUUUUGGAUCUCAAUACAAUGUUCCCCCCUCUCUCGUGGAGAUCUAUUUGAUGUAAUCUUCUUUUUGCGGUGUGUUUGUUAAGACCGAUGAAUUGUGGGUUUAUGAUCCAGUAUUAUCAAUGGAAAAUAUUUGAUUCUUCUCUGAAUUCUUUUAUGUAUGAUUGAGUUAUCUUUGCAAGUCUCUUCGAAUUAUCCUUUUUGGUUUGGCCAACUAGAUUGGUAGUUCUUGCAAUGGGAGAAGUGCUUAGCUUUGGGUUCAAUCUUGCGGUGUCCUUACCCAGUGACAGAAGGGGCAGCAAGGCACGUAUUGUAUUGUUGCCAUCGAGGAUAACAAGAUGGGGUUUUUAUCAUAUUGCAUGAAUUUAUCCCUCUACAUCAUGUCAUCUUGCUUACGACGUUACUCUGUUUUUAACUUAAUACUCUAGAUGCAUGCUGGAUAGCGGUCGAUGAGUGGAGUAAUAGUAGUAGAUGCAGAAUCAUUUCGAUCUACUUGUUUUGGACGUGAUGCCUAUAUACAUGAUCAUUGCCUAGAUAUACUCAUAACUAUGAUCAAUUCUGUCAAUUGCUCAACAGUAAUUUGUUCACCCACCAUAGAAUACUUAUGCUCUUGAGAGAAGCCUCUAGUGAAACCUAUGGCCCCCGGGUCUAUUCUCAUCAUAUCAAUCUCUAUCGCUUUAUUGACUUGCUUUGUUUUUACUUUGCCUUUUACUUUUUACUUUGCAUCUAUCUAUCAAAAAUACCAAAAAUAUUAUCUCUAUCAGAUCUCACUCUCGUAAGUGACCGUGAAGGGAUUGACAACCCCUAAGCGUUGGUUGCGAGUUGCUAUCGUUUUGUGUAGGUACGAGGGACUUAUGCGUGGUCUCCUACUAGAUUGAUACCUUGGUUCUCAAAAACUGAGGGAAAUACUUACGCUACUUUACUGCAUCAUCCUCUCCUCUUCGGGGAAAUCCAACGCAGUGCUCAAGAGGUAGCAAGAAGAAUUCCUGGCGCCGUUGCCGGGGAGGCUCACGCAAGCAAGUCAACUAUACCAAGUACCCAUCGCAAUCCCUAUCUCUCGCAUUACAUUAUUUGCCAUUUGCCUCUCGCUUUCCUCUCCCCCACUUCACCCUUGCUGUUUUAUUUGCCCUCUCUUUCCCAAUCUCCUCCUUUCCCUUUUGUUUGCUUUCUUCCGCCUUACUUCUUUUUUGACGCCAUGUCUAAAAUUGGGGAGAUUAUCGUUGAUAUGGACAACAAUGAUAACACAGAAAGUCCCGAGGCUCCGGCCGAUGAACCUCCUAUCUUGCAUACCAAAAAGUUUCGAAUCGGUAGUGGUAACAUCAUUGGCAAAGGCGUAAUUCAAGAUUUCUUUACUUGUGCCGGUGCUUUACCUUCCAUGGGCUGCUCUAUUCUUCAUAGAACUAGUAGCCUUGCGGAUGCUAUGGCUAUGCUUGUGGUUGAACUUGAAAGACAAUUUAUGCAUAUGCACCCUUGCAUACAGAGAAUUUUCUUGGAAUUCUCUAAUAUUGAGCACUCUUCUAUUAAGCGUGUUGUUACUAUCUUUUUGGCUCAUAAAUUUAGAUUUAUCAUAAGAGAAGCCAAAGAAAUCUUUGCGCACUAUAGGGUAGACGCCGGUCGUCCACCCAUAGAAGCAAUCCUCUAUGAUCAAGAGGAAAUUAGAUGUUUUCAAUCUUCGGACUAUGUCGCUUUCAAUGAAAACCUUAGAAAAAAGAUCCCUAUCAAAGUUUUAGUUGAUUGCAUUAACGAGCUUAAUAAUGAUUUUUCCCUUAGAAAUAAUGAGCUAGGAUACUCUCUCGAGUAUAAGCUCACAAGAUUUUGCCAAAAGAAUGCUUUCAAUGAUGAAAUAGUUGUGCACUAUGAAGGGCCAAGGGAGGAACCCGUUCAUCCCGUGAUUGAUCUUGGGGAUUUUUGUCCCGCUAAAUUUAGCCUUUUUGAUUAUUUUUGCUUGCCUCAAAGAAAACUUGCUGCCGAACGUAGAGAAUACGAGAUGAGCUUUUAAGAUCUAUCUUAUUAUUACGGCACGACCUAGAUCUAUCCUUGCUUUUAUGCCUAGCUAGGGGCGUUAAACGAUAGCGCUUGUUGGGAGGCAACCCAAUUAUUUUUUUUGUUUUUUUUUUGUUUUUGCUUAUGUUUAGGAAUAAAUAAUCCAUCUACCUUCUGUUUAGAUGUGGUUUUAUGUUUUAAUUAGUGUUUGUGCCAAGUAGAACCUAUAGGAUAACCUACGAUGAUAGUUGAUUUGAUUCUGCUGAAAAACAGAAACUUUGCGCGCACGAAUUUAGUUAUGAUAAAUCACAGAAACGUUAUUUUGCGUUGAUUCUUUUUGAUGCUGAUCAAUAAACAAAUUUUACAGGACUUCCUAUUUUGGUAGAAGUUUUAGAGUUCCAGAAGUUUGCGUUAGUUACAGAUUGCUACAGACUGUUCUGUUUUUGACAGAUUCUGUUUUUCGUGUGUUGUUUUCUUAUUUUGAUGAAUCUAUGGCUAGUAAAUUAGUUUAUAAUCCAUAUAGAAGUUGGAAUAAAGUAGGUUUAACACCAAUAUAAAAAAAAGAAUGAGUUCAUUACAGUACCUUGAAGUAGUCUUUUGUUUUCUUUCUCUAACGGAGCUCACGAGAUUUCUGUUGAGUUUUGUGUUGUGAAGUUUUCAAGUUUUGGGUGAAUUCUUUUGAUGGAUUAUGAAACAAGGAGUGGCAAGAUCCUAAGCUUGGGGAUGCCCAUGGCACCCCCAAGAUAAUCCAAGGACACCAAAAAGUCAAAGCUUGGGGAUGCCCCGGAAGGCAUCCCCUCUUUCGUCCAUUUCCAUCGGUAAUUUACUUGGAGCUAUAUUUUUAUUCACCAACAUGAUAUGUGUUUUGCUUGGAGCGUCUUGUAUUAUUUGUGUCUUUGCUUGUUAGUCUACCACAAUCAUCCUUGCUGUACACACCUUUUGAGAGAGCCAUACAUGAAUUGGAAUUUGUUAGAAUACUCUAUGUGUUUCACUUAUAUCAUUUGAGCUUGAUAGUUUUGCUCAUAGCGCUUCACUUAUAUCUUUUGAGCGUGAUAACUUUUGCUCUGGUGCUUCACUUAUAUCUUUUAGAGCACGGUGGUGGAUUUGUUUUAAAGAAACUAUUGAUCUCUCAUGCUUCACUUAGAUUAUUUUGAGUCGUUAAUAGCAUGGUAAUUUGCUUAAUAUUAAUAUACUUGGUGUUCAAGAUAUGUGAAACUUUCUUUUGAGUGCGUUGAAUACUAAGAUAAGUUUGAUGCUUGAUAAUUGUUUUGAGAUAUGGAGGUGAUAAUAUUAAAGUCAUGCUAGUUGAGUAGUUGUGAAUUUGAAGAAUACUUGUGUUGAAGUUUGUGAUUCCCGUAGCAUGCACGUAUGGUGAACCGUUAUGUGAUGAACUCAGAGCAUGAUUUAUUUAUUGAUUGUCUUCCUUAUGAGUGGCGGUCGGGGACGAGCGAUGGUCUUUUCCUACCAAUCUAUCCCCCUAGGAGCAUGCGUGUAAUACUUUGCUUUGAUAACUUCUAGAUUUUUUCAACAAUUAUAUGAGUUCUUUAUGACUAAUGUUGAGUCCAUGGAUUAUACGCACCUUUUCCCAUCCUUCCACCUUUGCUAGCCUCUCAAAUACCGCGCACUUUUCGCCGGUAUCAUAUACCCACCAUAUACCUUCCUCAAAACAGCCACCAUACCUACCUAUCAUGGCAUUUCCAUAGCCAUUCCGAGAUAUAUUUCCAUGCAACUUUCCACCGUUCCGUUUAUUAUGACACGCUCCAUCAUUGUCAUAUUGCUAGCAUGAUCAUGUAGUUGACAUUGUAUUUGUGGCAAAGCCACCAUUCAUAAUUCUUUCAUACAUGUCAUUCAUGAUUCAUUGCAUAUCCCGGUACACCGCCGGAGGCAUUCAUAUAGAGUCAUACUUUGUUCUAAGUAUCGAGUUGUAAUUGUUGAGUUGUAAGAAAAAUAAAAGUGUGAUGAUCAUCAUUAUUAGAGCAUUGUCCCAAGUGAGGAAAGGAUGAUGGAGACUAUGAUUCCCCCCACAAGUCGGGAUGAGACUCCGAACGAAAAAAAACAGGCCAAAAAACUAAGAGAAAGGCCCAAAUAAAAAAUGAGAGAAAAAGAGAGAAGGGACAAUGCUACUAUCCUUUUACCACACUUGUGCUUCAAAGUAGCACCAAGAUCUUCAUGAUAGAGAGUCUCUCAUUUUUGUCACUUUCAUAUACUAGUGGGAAUUUUUCAUUAUAGAACUUGGCUUGUAUAUUCCAAUGAUGGGCUUCCUCAAAAUGCCCUAGGUCUUCGUGAGCAAGCGAGUUGGAUGCACACCCACUUAGUUUCUUUUGUAGAGCUUUCAUAUACUUAUAGCUCUAGUGCAUCCGUUGCAUGGCAAUCCCUACUCACUCACAUUGAUAUCUAUUGAUGGGCAUCUCCAUAGCUCGUUGAUACGCCUAGUUGAUGUGAGACUAUCUUCCCUCUUUUUGUCUUCUCCACAACCACCCUUCUAUUCCACCUAUAAGUGCUAUAUCCAUGGCUCACGCUCAUAUAUUGCGUGAAGAUUGAAAAAGUUUUGAAAAUGUUAAAGUAUGAAACAAUUGCUUGGCUUGUCAUCGGGGUUGUGCAUGAUUUAAAUAUUUUGUGUGGGGAAGAUGGAGCAUAGCCAGACUAUAUGAUUUUGUAGGGAUAACUUUCUUUGGCCAUGUUAUUUUGAGAAGACAUGAUUGCUUUGAUUAGUAUGCUUGAAGUAUUAUUAUUUUUGUGUCAAUAUGAACUUUUGUAUUGAAUCUUUCGGAUCUGAAUAUUCAUGUCAUAAUUAAGAAGAUUUACAUUGAAAUUAUGCCAAAGUAUCACUCCGCAUCAAAAAUUCUUUUUUAUCAUUUACCUACUCGAGGACGAGCGGGAAUUAAGCUUGGGGAUGCCUGAUACGUCUCCAACGUAUCUAUAAUUUUUGAUUGCUCCAUGCUACUUUAUCUACUGUUUUGGACUAUAUUGGGCAUUAUUUUCCACUUUUAUAUUACUUUUGGGACUAACCUAUUAACCGGAGGCCCAACCCAGAAUUGCUGUUUUUUGCCUUUUUUAGUAUUUCGAAGAAACAGAAUAUCAAACGGAGUCCAAACGGAAUGAAACCUUCGGGAUCGUGAUUUUCCAACCGAACGUGAUCAGGAGACUUGGACCCUACUCCAAGAAGUGUCCGAGGAGGUCACGAGGGUGGAGGGCGCGCCCCCUACCUCGUGGGCCCCUCGGAGCUCCACCGACGUACUCCUUCCUCCUAUAUAUACCUACGUAUCCCCGAACGAUCAGAACAGGAGCCAAAAACCUAAUUCCACCAGCACAACCUUCUGUAUCCACGAGAUCCCAUCUUGGGGCCUGUUCCGGAGCUUCGCCGGAGGGAGCAUCCACCACGGAGGGCUUCUACAUCAACACCAUAGCCCCUCCGAUGAAGUGUGAGUAGUUUACUUCAGACCUUCGGGUCCAUAGCUAGUAGCUAGAUGGCUUCUUCUCUCUUUUUGGAUCUCAAUACAAUGUUCCCCCCUCUCUCGUGGAGAUCUAUUCGAUGUAAUCUUCUUUUUGCGGUGUGUUUGUUGAGAACGAUGAAUUGUGGGUUUAUGGUCCAGUAUUAUCUAUGGAAAAUAUUUGAUUCUUCUCUGAAUUCUUUUAUGUAUGAUUGAGUUAUCUUUGCAAGUCUCUUCGUAUUAUCCUUUUUGGUUUGGCCAACUAGAUUGGUAGUUCUUGCAAUGGGAGAAGUGCUUAGCUUUGGGUUCAAUCUUGCGGUGUCCUUACCCAGUGACAGAAGGGGCAGCAAGGCACGUAUUGUAUUGUUGCCAUCGAGGAUAACAAGAUGGUUUUUUUAUCAUAUUGCAUGAUUUUAUCCCUCUACAUCAUGUCAUCUUGCUUACAGCGUUACUUUGUUUUUAACUUAAUACUCUAGAUGCAUGCUGGAUAGCGGUCGAUGAGUGGAGCAAUAGUAGUAGAUGCAGAAUCGUUUCGAUCUACUUGUUUUGGACGUGAUGCCUAUAUACAUGAUCAUUGCCUAGAUAUACUCAUAACUAUGCCCAAUUCUGUCAAUUGCUCAACAGUAAUUUGUUCACCCACCGUAGAAUACUUAUGCUCUUGAGAGAAGCCUCUAGUGAAACCUAUGGCCCCCGGGUCUAUUCUCAUCAUUAUCAAUCUCUAUCGCUUUAUUUACUUGCUUUGUUUUUACUUUGCCUUUUACUUUUUACUUUGCAUCUAUCUAUCAAAAAUACCAAAAAUAUUAUCUCUAUCAGAUCUCACUCUCGUAAGUGACCGUGAAGGGAUUGACAACCCCUAAGCGUUGGUUGCGAGUUGCUAUCGUUUUGUGUAGGUACGAGGGACUUGUGCGUGGUCUCCUACUGGAUUGAUACCUUGGUUCUCAAAAAAUGAGGGAAAUACUUACGCUACUUUACUGCAUCAUCCUCUCCUCUUCGGGGAAAUCUAACGCAGUGCUCAAGAGGUAGCUAUGGCUUCAAGCCAUUUGUUGGAAUCUGGGCCCGCCAUCGCUUCUUCAUAGUUCGAAGGUUCACCGUUGUCUAACAACAUGAUUUCCAGGACAGGGUUGCCAUACCAUUCUGGUGUGGAACGUGUACUUGUGGACCUACGAAGUUCAGUAGGAACUUGAUCCGAAGUACCUUGAUCAUCAUCAUUAACUUCCUCUCUAGUCGGUGCAGGCACCACAGAAACAUCUUCCUGAGCUACGCUAAUUUCUGCUUCAAGAGGCAGUACUUCAUCAAGUUCUACUUUCCUCCCACUUACUUCUUUCGAGAGAAACUCUUUCUCCAGAAAGGACCCAUUCUUGGCAACAAAGAUCUUGCCUUCGGAUCUGAGGUAGAAGGUAUACCCAAUGGUUUCCUUAGGGUAUCCUAUGAAGACGCAUUUUUCCGACUUGGGUUCGAGCUUUUCAGGUUGAAGUUUCUUGACAUAAGCAUCGCAUCCCCAAACUUUUAGAAACGACAACUUAGGUUUCUUCCCAAACCAUAAUUCAUACGGUGUAUCUCAACGGAUUUAGACGACGUCCUGUUUAAAGUGAAUGUAGCUGUCUCUAGAGCGUAUCCCCAAAAUGAUAGUGGUAAAUCGGUAAGAGACAUCAUAGAUUGCACCAUAUCCAAUAGAGUGCAAUUACGACGUUUGGACACACCGUUACGCUGAGGUGUUCCAGGAGGCGUGAGUUGUGAAACAAUUCCACAUUUCCUUAAGUGCAUACCAAAUUCAUGACUCAAAUAUUCUCCCCCACGAUCUGAUCGUAAGAACUUUUUUUUUGGGUCACGUUGAUUCUCUACCUCAUUCUGAAAUUCCUUGAACUUUUCAAAGGUCUCAGACUUGUGUUUCAUCAAGUAGACAUACCCAUAUCUACUUAAGUCAUCAGUCAGGGUGAGAACAUAACGAUAGCCUCCGCGAGCCUCAACACUCAUUGGACCGUACACAUCAGUAUGUAUGAUUUCCAAUAAGUUGGUUGCUCGCUCCAUUGUUCCGGAGGACGGAGUCUGGGUCAUUUUGCCCAUGAGGCAUGGUUCGCAUGUGUCAAAUGAUUCAUAAUCAAGAGGAUACAAAAGUCCAUCUGCAUGGAGCUUCUUCAUGCGCUUGACACCAAUGUGACCAAGGCGGCAGUGCCACAAGUAUGUGGGACUAUCAUUAUCAACCUUACAUCUUUUGGUAUUCACACUAUGAAUAUGUGUAACAUCACGUUCGAGAUUCAUUAAGAAUAAACCAUUGACCAGCGGGGCAUGACCAUAAAACAUAUCUCUCAUAUAAAUAGAACAACCAUUAUUCUCGGACUUAAAUGAGUAGCCAUCUCGUAUUAAACGAGAUCCAGAUACAAUGUUCAUGCUCAAAGCUGGCACUAAAUAACAAUUAUUGAGGUUUAAAACUAAUCCCAUAGGUAAAUGUAGAGGUAGCGUGCCGACGGUGAUCACAUCGACCUUGGAUCCAUUCCCGACGCGCAUCGUCACCUCGUCCUUCGCCAGUCUCCGCUUAUUCCGCAGCUCCUGUUUUGGGUUACAAAUAUGAGCAACCACACCAGUAUCAAAUACCCAGGAGCUACUACGAGUACUGGUAAGGUACACAUCAAUAACAUGUAUAUCACAUAUACCUUUGGUGUUGCCGGCCUUCUUGUCCGCUAAGUACUUGGGGCAGUUCCGCCUCCAGUGUCCGUUUCCCUUGCAAUAAAAGCAUUCAGUCUCAGGUUUGGGUCCAUGCUUUGGCUUCUUCCCGGCAACUAGCUUACCGGGCGCAGCAACUCCCUUGCCGUCCUUCUUGAAGUUCUUCUUACCCUUGCCUUUCUUGAAACUAGUGGUUUUAUUGACCAUCAACACUUGAUGUUCCUUUUUGAUCUCCACCUCCGCUGAUUUCAGCAUUGAAUAUACCUCAGGAAUGGUUUUCACCAUCCCCUGCAUAUUGAAAUUCAUCACAAAGCUCUUGUAGCUAGCUAGAAGCGACUGGAGUAUUCUGUCAAGGAUCGCGUCAUCCGGGAGAUUAACUCCCAGCUGAGAUAAGCGGUUGUGCAACCCAGACAUCUUGAGUAUGUGCUCGCUGACGGAACCAUUCUCCUCCGUCCUAGAACUGUAGAACUUGUCGGAGACUUCAUAUCUUUUGACCCGGGCAUGAGCUUGGAAAACCAUUUUCAGCUCUUGGAACAUCUCAUAUGCUCUGUGCUGCUCAAAAUGCUUUUGGAGCCCCGGUUCUAAGCUGUAAAGCAUGUCGCACUGAACCAGGGAGUAAUCAUCACUACGCGGCUACUAGGCAUUCAUAACGUCUUGAGUUGCUGGGAAAACGGGUGCUUCACCUAGCGGUGCAUCUAGGGCAUAUGCUUUCUUGGCAGCUAUGAGGAUGAUCGUCAAGUUCCGGACCCAGUCCGUAUAGUUGCUACCAUCGUCUUUCAGCUUGGUUUUCUCUAGGAACGCGUUGAAGUUGAGGGCAACAUUAGCGUGGGCCAUUUGAUCUACAAGACAUAUUGCAAAGAUUUUAGACUAAGUUCAUGAUAAUUAAGUUCAUCUAAUCAAAUUAUUUAAUGAACUCCCACUCAGAUAGACAUCCCUCUAGUCAUCUAAGUGAUACAUGAUCCGAGUCAACUAGGCCAUGUCCGAUCAUCACGUGAGACGGACUAGUCAUCAUCGGUGAACAUCUUCAUGUUGAUCGUAUCUACUAUACGACUCAUGUUCGACCUUUCGGUCUCUUGUGUUCCGAGGCCAUGUUUGUACAUGCUAGGCUCGUCAAGUCAACCUAAGUGUUUUGCAUGUGUAAAUCUGGCUUACACCCGUUCUAUUCGAACGUUAGAAUCUAUCACACCCAAUCAUCACGUGGUACUUCAAAACAACGAAUCUUCGCAACCGUGCACAGUUAGGGGGAACACUUUCUUGAAAUUUUAUGAGGGAUCAUCUUAUUUACGCUACCGUCGUUCUAAGCAAAUAAGAUGUAAAACAUGAUAAACAUCUCAUGCAAUCAAAUAGUCACAUGAUAUGGCCAAUAUCAUUUUGCUCCUUAUGAUCUCCAUCUUCGAGGCGCCAUGAUCAUCAUCGUCACCGGCAUGACACCAUGAUCUCCAUCAUCGUGUCUUCAUGAAGUUGUCUCGCCAACUAUUACUUCUACUACUAUGGCUAAUGGUUUAGCAAUAAAGUAAAGUAAUUACAUGGCAUUAUUUAAUGACACGCAGGUGAUACAAUAAAUUAAGACAACUCCUAUGGCUCCUGCCGGUUGUCAUACUCAUCGACAUGCAAGUCGUGAUUCCUAUUACAAGAACAUGAUCAAUCUCAUACAUCACAUAUAUGUCAUUCAUCACAUCCUUUUGGCCAUAUCACAUCACACGGCAUAUGCUGCAAAAACAAGUUACACGUCCUCUAAUUGUUGUUGCAAGUUUUUACGUGGCUGCUAUAGGUUUCUAGCAAGAACGUUUCUUACCUACGCCAAAACCACAACGUGAUAUGCCAAUUGCUAUUUACCCUUCAUAAGGACCCUUUUCAUCGAAUCUGAUCCAACUAAAGUGGGAGAGACAUACACCCGCUAGCCACCUUAUGCAACUAGUGCAUGUCAGUCGGUGGAACCUGUCUCACGUAAGCGUACGUGUAAGGUCGGUCCGGGCCGCUUCAUCCCACGAUGCCGCCAAAUCAAGAUAAGACUAGUAGUGGCAAGUAAAUUGACAAAAUUGACGCCCACAACAACUUGUGUUCUACUCGUGCAUAGAAACUAUGCAUAGACCUAGCUCAUGAUGCCACUGUUGGGGAUCGUUGUAGAAAUUAAAAAAAUUCUACGCAUCACCAAAAUCAAUCUAUGGAGUAACUAGCAAUGAGAGAGAGGGGAGUGCAUCUUCAUACCCUUGAAGAUCGCAAGUCGGAAGCGUUACAAGAACCCGGAUGAAGGAGUCGUACUCCUAGCAAUAUAGAUCGCGGUGGAUUCCGAUCUAAGCGCCGAACAAUGACACCUCCGUGUUCAACACACGUGCAGCCCGGUGACGUCUCCCACACCUUGAUCCAGCAAGGAGGAGGGAGAGGUUGAGGAAGAUAGCUCCAGCAGCAGCACGAUGGCGUGGUGGUGAUGAAGUGGCAGUUCUCUGGCAGGGCUUCGCCAACCUCACGCGGAGGAGGAGAGGUGUUGGGGAGGGGAGGGGCUGCGCCUUGGAUGUGGUGCUGCAACCCUCCCUCCACCCCUCUGUUUAUAGGGAGAAGGGGGAAGAGGGCCGACCCCUCUAGAUGAGAUCUAGAGGGGGGCGGCGGCCAAGGGGGAGGGGGCUUGCCCCCCAAGCAAGAGGGCACCCCUUUAGGCGCCCCCCAAACCCUAGGCGCAUGGGCCCUAGGGGGGAUGGUGCCCAUCCCACUUAGGGGCUGGUUCCCUUCCACCUACAGCCCAUAAGGCCCUCCGGGGCAGGUGGACCCUCCCAGUGGACCCCCAGAACCCCUCCGGUGGUCCCGGUACAAUACCGGUAUACCCCCGAAUAUUUCCGGUGACCGUAUGAUGACUUCCCAUAUAUAAAUCUUCAGCUCCAGACCAUUCCAGAACUCCUCAUGACGUCCGGGAUCUCAUCCGGGACUCCGAACAACAUUCGGUAAUCACAUACAAAUCUUCCUUAUAACCGUAGCCUCAUCGAACAUUAAGAGUGUAGACCCUACGGGUUCGGGAAUCAUGCAGACAUGACUGAGACAACUCUCUGGCCAAUAACCAAUAGCGGGAUCUGGAUACCCAUGUUGGCUCCCACAUGUUCCACGAUGAUCUCAUCGGAUGAACCAUGAUGUCGAGGAUUCAAGUAAUCCCGUAUACAAUUCCCUUUGUCAAUCGGUAUGUUACUUGCCCGAGAUUCGAUCGUCAGUAUCCCAAUACCUUGUUCAAUCUUGUUACCGGCAAGUCACUGUACUCGUUCUGUAAUGCAUGAUCCCGUGACCAACUACUUAGUCACAUUGAGCUCAUUAUGAUGAUGCAUUACCGAGUGGCCCCAGAGAUACCUCUCCUUCAUACGGAGUGACAAAUCCCAGUCUCGAUUCAUACCAACUCAACAUACACUUUCGGAGAUACCUGUAGUGCACCUUUAUAGCCACCCAGUUACGUUGUGACGUUUGGUACACCCAAAGCAUUCCUACGGUAUCCGGGAGUUGCACGAUCUCAUGGUCUAAGGAAAUGAUACUUGACAUUAGAAAAGCUUUAGCAAACGAACUACACGAUCUUGUGCUAUGCUUAGGAUUGGGUCUUGUCCAUCACAUCAUUCUCCUAAUGAUGUGAUCCCGUUAUCAAUGACAUCCAAUGUCCAUAGUCAGGAAACCAUGACCAUCUGUUGAUCAACGAGCUAGUCAACUAGAGGCUCACUAGGGACAUGUUGUGGUCUAUGUAUUCACACAUGUACUACGGUUUCCGGUCAAUACAAUUAUAGCAUGAAUGAUAGACAAUUAUCAUGAACAAGGAAAUAUAAUAAUAACCAUUUUAUUAUUGCCUCUAGGGCAUAUUUCCAACAGUCAUCUCAACCCUUCGAGCUGCUACACAUGGACUUAUUUGGCCCCACUAACUACUCUACUCUCACUACCACUGCUUGUCUCUAUGGCUUCGUCAUUAUUGAUGAUUAUUCAAGAUAUACAUGGGUGCGUAUAAUCCUCUACAAGACUGAAGUGCAGGAUGUCUUCAGACGCUUCGCCAACAAUGCCAUGACGAACUAUGGCGUCAAGAUCAAGCAUAUCAGAAGUGACAACGGCACAGAAUUCUAGAACACCGGCCUCGACCUUUAUCUGGACACAUUGGACAUCACUCAUGAGUUCUCAGCUCCGUACACACCUCAGCGGAAUGGCAUCAUGGAGCGCAAGAAUAGAACACUAAUUGAGAUGGCUCGGACGAUGCUUGAUGAAUACAAGACUCCAAGAAAGUUCUGGCCCGAAGCCAUUGAUACUGCAUGUCAGGUCAUCAACCGUGUUUAUCUUCACAAGCUUCUGAAGAAGACAACCUAUGAACUCCUAACUGGUAAGAAGCCAAAUGUCAGUUACUUCAGAGUAUUUGGUGCUAGGUGCUGGAUCAAGGAUCCACAUCACACUUCAAAAUUUGCACCGAAAGCACAUGAAGGUUUUAUGCUUGGUUGCGGAAAGGAUUCACACUCCUACAGAGUCUUCAACCUCUUUCACUAUAAAGUGGUUGAAACUGUAGAUGUGCGGUUCGAUGAGACUAACGGCUCUCAAAGAGAGCACCUGCCAAAUGUGCUAGAUGAAGUUCCACCUAGUGAAUCCAUCAAGCUCAUGGGAACUGGAGAGAUCAUACCUUCUGAGGCAUAGGCAGAAGAGGAACUUAUCAUUUCUGCACCUAAUCAAUCUGAAGACAAUGCUCAAACUGAAGCCAAUCCUCCAAAUGAAGACAAUGAUCAGCAAGAGCAAAAUCUUCGUCCAGUUCACCCUUGUGUUGCAAAUGAAGUACAAAUUGAGAAGAUAAUUGAUAGCAUCAAUGCACCUGGUCCACUCACUCGUUCAAGAGCAACACACCUAGCAAAUUUCUGUGGGCACUUUGCAUUUGUCUCAAUAUCUGAACCCAAGAAAGUUGCUGAAGCCUUCAUGGAACUUGAAUGGAUUCAAGCUAUGCACGAAGAGCUUCAGCAGUUCAAACUGAACAAUGUGUGGGAAUUAGUCAAGCGUCCUGACGCUCUCAAUCACAACAUUAUAGGCACCAAAUGGAUAUAUCGCAACAAGCAAGAUGAGCAUGGUCAAGUUGUCAGAAACAAGUCUCGUCUCGUUGCUCAAGGAUACACUCAAGUUGAAGGGAUUGACUUCGAUGAAACAUUUGCUCCUGUGGCUAGGCUUGAAUCCAUUCGCAUACUGCUAGCCUAUGCAAAUCAUCAUGACAUCCUUCUGUAUCAAAUGGAUGUGAAGAGUGCCUUUCUCAAUGGCAAGAUUGAAGAAGUAGUGUAUGUUGCACAACCACCUGGCUUUGAAGAUCCAAAACAUCCUGAUAUGGUAUACAAGCUCAACAAGGCACUAUAUGGCCUCAAACAAGCCCCUCGCGCUUGGUAUGACACACUCAAAGACUUCCUGAAGAGCAAAGGCUUCAAACCUGGUUCCAUGGAUCCCACACUCUUCACGAAGACAUAUGAUGGUGAACUAUUUGUGUGCCAAAUCUAUGUGGAUGACAUUAUCUUCGGUUGCACUGACAAGAGAUACACUAAUGAAUUUGGACACAUGAUGCAAGAGCAAUAUCAGAUGUCCAUGAUGGGUGAGCUGAAGUUCUUCCUAGGUCUUCAAAUUCGUCAGCAGAGCAACGACAUAUUUAUAUCUCAAGAGAAAUACCUCAAAGACUGCCUGAAGAAGUUUGGAAUGCAAGACUACAAAGGUUGCACGACGUCAAUGCCAACCAAAAGUCAUCUGGGUCCUGACACCAAUGGUAAAGAGUUCGAUCAAAAGGUAUACCGCUCCAUGAUUGGUUCCUUACUUUAUUUAUGUGCAUCUAGGCGAGAUAUCAUGCUUAGUGUUUGCAUGUGUGCCCGAUUCCAAGCGGCACAUAAGGAAUCACAUCACUUAGCUGUGAAGCGAAUUCUUUGAUAUUUGGCUUACACCCCAACACUAGGAUUAUGGUAUCCAAAGGGCUCAGAAUUUGAUCUGGUUGGAUUCUCGGAUGCUGAUUAUGUUGGUGACAAGGUGGAUCGCAAGUCUACAUCAGGCACAUGCCACUUUCCGGGUCGAUCACUUGUCUGUUGGUCUUCAAAAAAGCAGAACUGUGUAUCACUCUCCACUGCUGAAUCUGAAUACAUUGGUGCUGGAUCUUGCUGCGCUCAGCUUCUAUGGAUGAAGCAAAUUCUCAAGGACUAUGGUAUCCAUCUGAAGCAAGUGCCACUCUACUGCGACAAUGAAAGCGCCAUCAAGAUUUCCAUCAACCCAGUUCAGCACUCGAAGACAAAGCACAUUGAAAUUCGUCAUCACUUUCUCAGAGAUCAUGUCAUGAAGGAAGAUAUUGAUAUCAUUCACGUCAACACUGAAGAGCAAUUGGCAGAUAUCUUCACAAAGCCCUUGGAUGAGAAAAGGUUUUGCAAGUUGCGGUGUGAGCUAAAUAUCUUAGAAUCCUCAAAUGUUCUGUGAUUAGGCACACAUCCUAACACUUAUGCAUGUUGAUGACUUAGAUGUGCAACACGCGAAGUAUUGUAUAUCUUCAAUCAAUGAAGACUUACACUCUAGUGUGAAUACAUUAAUGCGGAAUUUGACUUCGGAGCGCCACGAUAAUUGUGCGCCGUGUCUGGGUCUAAUACUUCCUAUACGGUGGGUAACGCCACCACCAAACCUUUGUUUGAAGUGUUUCUCUUGGCGUUACAUUUGCAAAGUCUUCACAGUUAAUUUGUCUUCAACCUUGAUUUGAGUUCAUGAUUAUCUUCGCCUUGUUGAUUUGGUCUUACUCAGAUAAAUACAUAUAUUUGUGUUCUGUCCUCUACAGCAUUCACUUAUAGCUAUGUCUCCUCUUUUGAAUCUUUUGGACUAAGUGAAUGUGAUCGGACCCUAAGCUCUUCUAUGCUUCUACCUCAUAUUCUAUCUAUCCAAAUCAUAUGCAUUCUAUUGAAACCGUCGAAUGUCUUCUCUGCGUCCUUGUCAGCAGAAGAAAUAGAGACAAAAGUUGAAUCCGUUUUAAAUGUUGUAUCCUUAUUGCCUGAAACACGGAGAAGCCGGAACGACCACCCGACAGUCUAGGCGAGCGUGGGAACAUGGAACAACUUUCAAUGUGUUGCAUGUUCGCCACGUGUCCCUCGGAUGUGAACCGCCAGGGGCACCUACAUAAUUGCGCUGUCUUGUCCCUCUCCCUAUAAAUACACAUCACAUCACAGUCAAAAUCUUUCUUCCACCUCUCCACCUUGACAAACCCUAGCGCCACGCUAGCUCGCGGCGACGCUGGUGACGAAGCGCUUAGCUGUCGCGACCUCGUCGACGCCGUCCUCAUGCCGGCCGUGGACCUUGUCUCCUCCGCCGCCGCCGUAGGUGUCUUCCGUCGCCAAGUUAGCGCACGGGAGAUUGAACUGCUCGGCCUCCUACUUCGCUCCAUCUAGCAGUUCUUCGUGUGGUAAUUAAAAAUCACUUUUUACUGCCUUUUUGAACCGAUAGAUUCAUCCUUCUCCACCAAAAGUGGUUUCUGUGUCUACAAUUUUCGAUCUAUCAUGUACUGCAUCUCAUAACAUGCCUAGUACGUUCUCUUAUGCUUCACACAUAGUUAGAUUCCUUACUUGUACCUAUUCUUGGAUUCGUACAAAUCUGGAACCAACUCCCAACCAAUAAGUGAAUGUCUUCACGCUAUGAGGUCAAUGUCUUCAAAACUGAUUUAUCUUCAAAAUCUUCUGAGAAUGCAUAUGACCUCUUCCCCUUCCCUCGCAUCUCUAAUGCUGUCACAGGUACAUGUCCGUGGGAGAAUCCCUUGGUUCUCAUAGUCUUCAUUCAUUUGCAGAAUUCUUACAGCAUCACAUCAAUUCUCCCGAAGCUAGUUCUUGUCUGAUCAGCAGACGGAAGCAUUUGCAAGUUUUGAAGCCAUUCAGUUUGAACUACAUGGCCACAGAAAAGUUAGCAAGGAAGGGAGGCAGACAGCGCCACGGGGGUACUUCAAUGGGUUUGCCUGAGGAUCUUUAUGAGUCAUACAAAACUGAUCCCGAAAAGAGCUAUGGCCAAUGCAAAACACGAAUCCAAUGGAUUCGAAGAUAUUGGGUCGAGCAAUGGUUCAAGUACAGGUUUGUCACCAAGGAAUAUGCUGAAAAGAAUGCCAUCAAGCGUCCUUGGGGGGAUAUUCUCUACAACAAUCUUCAACCCAAGACAAGAUCUGAAGCUAUUGCUUAAGGUUUCUACCCUUGCAUGGUCCAAGGACCACAACCUGCAGAUGCCGACCCAUCAUCUCUGUUGCGGUGUCAUGAGGACAGUUUGUUCAAGCGCAACUACAAGUUUGCCAAGGACUCUGCAAUAAAGAACAAGAUGAGCCUCACAUGCAACUUCAAUCCUGGUCCUUCUGCUCCUAGGGCUGAUGGCACACGUGAUGCCCAAUGUCAUCGGGCCCUUCGACAACUUUGAUGGUUUUCUCUCCUACAGCCACUCAGAGGGCCACAGUGGAUCAGUGUGGAGAUGAAGCUGAUUCUGAUGAAGCUCCUGCUCUGCCGAAGCCUCAAAAGCAAAAGAAACCAAAGGCUUCAAAACCUGCUGCUGCACCAAGCACUUCGCGUGCGAAGCCACUAGCCACUGCUCCUCCUGCACCAAGUGUGCAUUCUGAAGAUCUUUCUCGUGUCUCCAAGAAGAAAGAGAAGCCCCAGAAGAAAAUUGUCAAGAGUUCUGGACAAGCACUGACCCCAGCUGCCAUUCUGCGGAAUGAGCAUGAAGCUAUUGAUCUGUCAACUGAUGAUGAGUUUGGUGAUGAUGCUCUUGAGUAGCUGAUUAAGAGCAAGCAAGAGGUGGAGAUCUUCAAUGAUCUGCCCCUUUUCGAUGUGGACAUCUUGAAUAAUUUCAUUGAUGAGUGGUUUGACAACCCAAACCUCAGUUUUGAUGAUCUUCAGCUCCCAAUUGGCCUCAACGUCUCCUUCCACGGAGCCAUUGCUCCUGAGUUGGCUCUAGCUCAGAGAAUAAAAUUGACUAUGAGAAGGCUCGGUUUAAUGAGCACAUGGCCAAGCUCAGUGUGACUGAUAUUCAAAACUUCAAGCAGAUGAUGCAUGAGCUCAAGGAGGCGUUUCACAAGAAACGUGAAUAAGCAAAAGGUUCAAGAGAACGAAUGAAACUCCUCGCUACAAAAUGUGUUCAAUAUCACAAUGAAGCUGAGAAGCGCAAGGCUCUUGGGCGUCCUGGCAUAGACCCCAAGAUGGCUGCCAAAAAGAAGAAGCCUGUUGUGGUCCAAGCUGAAGCAUCAGAGCAGGAAGCACCUCGCAUUGUCUUCCCUGCUAGUAUGACAGGCUCGAAGCCUAAGGUCCCCACAGUUUCUUCAGAACUCAAGAAAACAAGGAAAAUUGAAGCCGAAGCCAGAAAGCGCAAGUCCAAGCACACCACUGAUGAUGCUCCACCGACCAAGAAGAGAAAAACAAAGAAGAAAGAUAGGGUUGCUCCCACAGAGCCCCUUGUCAUCGAGCCAAUCUCAGUCGCUCGUCCUGCGUCCGAACACCGAGAGUGUCAGUUAAUUGUUCAUGAGCCUGCUACCACAGAGGCUCCUGAAGCUGAAGACAUUCCAGCUGUUGACACCACCGCAAUUGAAGACAUUGGUCCCCAAGACAAUGUAAAUGAUGAUGAAGUCCUUGCUCAGAUCGAGCACCAAAUGGUAUCAUCGCCUGUUCUCACGAACAACGAACUCAUCAGCAUUGGUCGUCCAUUGACGCCAAUCGCUCAGGAUGAUUCAUGGGCUGAUCACCCUCAAGUCUUCCCCCAUCGAGAAGAAUCGCCAAGUACUUCCCCAACUCAAGUCACCACUCCGGUGCUUGAUGAUGACGACUUUGUGGCCCAGUCAACUCCCUCUCCAUAGGCGUCGCCCGCGUUUCGCAGGCUUCGCAAAGGUCCAAGGCCACAAGUCACUCUUUCGAGUGUUCCAAAAGGAGAAGGGCACCACAACUCAGUAUCACGCCAAGUGUUCCCUGAAGCCACUCCAACUGCGAACGUCUCAGAAUCUGAAGCCAAAGCUGCUGAAGAUAUACCGGCUGCAUCAGCCGAAGAACAACAAGAAACCUAUUAAGAAGAAGAAGAAUGUGUUGCCACACCCCCUACCAACCAAGCAGUUGUUCUCGAGGAGAACGUGUCCGACCCUCCAGCUACUCAAGUGGAGGUUGAUAAUACUGAGGCGACCACAAACACAAAUACUAAAGCCAAUGACAUUGUCAUGGCUGAAGUAAAUGUGGCACCUAAAGUUACUGUGGCGCCAGAAGUGAAUGCACCUGAAGUCAAUGUUGCACCAGAAGCCAUUAUACCUCUAGCAGCUCAUGUCAAUGUCGAUGCUCCUCUUCCGCCUCCAAGGCCACAAACUAUUGAGAUAACAUUUGAUCGCGGCCAACCUGUCAUGGUUCGCUGGCCCAUUCUGGUUCCUCCUCCUGCUCCUGGACCUCAAUUUGAUUAUCAUGAGGAGCACAGGCCUCAGGUCCAGAAGCCAAAACCCAGGCUGCCUAGGUUUCUAGGUACAACAACUUCACCAGGAUCGUUUAAUGUGAAUGGCUUUGUUGCACACAAUACCUUCUUUGAUAGCGACAAGAACCCAUACUUGAAGCCAAGAAUUUCAUCUGAUCGGUUCUGGAGCUAUCACCAGCGCAGUUACUAUUCUUGUGUUCUUUACGAUCAAGGGCGCAUCUUUCCCCCAUAUGCGUCUAGACUGCGAAGCCAUUGCUGGUCUGCCCUGCUUGGAAGAAGCCCUUGAUUGUUUCAGAGAUGCUGGUCUGCUACAAUUUGUGACUGAUAAAGAGCACUGGAACGAAGAGCUUCUGCUUCAAUUUUAUGCCACCUUCCACAUUCGCGGCUACAACAAGGAUCCGAAGUCAUGGAUCCUUGAUUGGAUGACAGGCAAUGUACACCAUGAAGCCAAAGCUCUUGAUAUUAUUGAGCUCACUGGCCUACCCACUCCAGGUGAACUAUAUGAACCUGGUUGUCAACUUCACCGCAAUGCUUUAAGGAGCAUCUUUCAGAAGCCUGAGCCAAACAUGAGCCAAAUGCUGAGCAUGAUGAAGCCACUGCCACGCGACGCUGAAUAUCCAAGGGAAUUCUUUGUUGAAGACCUAGAGUAUCUGCCGCGCACUAUUUAUCAUAUCAUCAGGCGAACUCUAUGGCCUAUCAAAUGACAUUCUCCUGCAGCAAAGCUUGAAGGAGCAAUGAAGACAUUAGUUUUCUAUAUCUUCAAUGGCAUCAGCUACAAUGCUCAAGACUUCUUCAUCAGGUAAUUGGCUGCGUCUGGCUCUGAUUUAUUUGGUCUUAAGUUCUAUGCUCUAUGGGUUAUGCGCCUCAUCAAGCUUCAUUCUGCUGUCAACUAUCAGCCCUCUGCGCGCAACCACAUUAUCUUCUUACCAGAGGUAGAUAUGUCUGUCGAAGCCAUAUACCUAGAACCUGCCAAGGAGCCCAUUUACCUUCACAAUGUCGAUCGCCAAAGUUUCACUCAACCCAUUGAAGGAGUUCUUGCUGCUACUCGUGUUUAUCCUUUGGCUGGCAAUACUCGUGCACCUCAUCGUGCCCAUACUAAAGCCACUGAAAGCACAAUUGCUCAACGGCCUCGGAAGCGUUCUCGUGUACACAAUGACCGAGAGCUUCUCGUUGCCCUGCAUCGAAAACAGGAUAAGCAUCAUGACUGGCUGAAGCGUCAGAUGCGAAGCCUCUUGGUGAUUGUUAAUCACAUUCGCAACCUCGCCACCAAGAAUGCAUUUGUCACUCAUGAAACCUGUCGGCGGACGUGGAAGGGUCUGACACUGAUAAGCUCUGAAGAUGAUCUUCAACAAGAUGGCUUCACAAAGAGAUUCAAGUUUGAUUCCACUCCUCCCAGGAAUGUUGUCUUGCGUCGGACUCCCUCACUCGAAGAUUCUGUGUACUCCUCCUCUGCAGCAACUGUAAAUGCAAGAGUCGUCGAUGAUGAAGAUGAUGCUACUUCGCCAACUACAACGUCACCGCACAUCGACACUGCACCAAGUUCUUCUGCACUACCGAACCUCAAUGACGACCCUGCUGCUUCCCCUACUUCUCAUGGGAACGAGUAGACGCUCUAUGUCUUCAAACCUUUUUGGUCCUUACUGACAAAAGGGGGAGAAGCAUAUGAGUUGAUAGUCUUCAAGCGGGUCCAUAAGGGUGGUUGAUAUUUUUACUAUACUUUUGCCAAGUGCUUACAACUCUUGCUUUUGAUACUUUUGGUUUUUUGAGUUGUAACACUUAAACUUGAUGAUCGUCUGCUACUUUCUCUGCUAUUCUAUGAUGCGAUGAUAAAUUUCGCAUAUGCGAUGACAAAUCCCGCAUGAGAUCUUUUCGCAGACGUCCAUUUUCCAUUGUGCAUGCCAUUACCUUCAUUAUAUCCUUUCAUGCAUGACGAAUUGUCUUCAUUAGUUGAAGAGGAUCUCCACAAGUACAACCUGCCAUGUGCAUUUGCAUUCAAAAGCAAAAUACUUAUAUGCACAUCUUCAGGGGGAGCCUUUUGCUACUUAUGAAGACAAUAUCUUAAUCCUUUACAAUUUCACAUACUUUUAUCCCCGUUGAAUAUUUCAACCAGUUUGUCAUCAAUCACCAAAAAGGGGGAGACUGUAAGUGCAUCUAGUGCCACCCCUAGUUGGUUUUGGAGUAUUGACGACAAACCUGGUUGAGGGACUAAUGUGUUUGUGAGAAUUGCAGGAUAACACAGGUAGUGGUCCCUCAUUGAUUUGGUUUACCUACCGGAGAUGACCCCUAAAAAUGUGUGAAGACAUUGAAGACAAUGGUGGUAUGUGAAGAUAUUCACAAUAAAGAUUAUGACUUGAGAAUACAUUCACGUGAAGACUAUGGAGUGCGAAGACAUAGCUGUUUUGUAGCUUCCUUUUCUUCUUUGUUGAGUCAUAGGAACCACCGUACUGUUAAAUGGGGUCCAAGUAAACAAAGUCAGAGUGACUGAAGUGAUGCUCAACCAAAUCCUAUGUCUUCGAGCGAAGACAAUGAGAGCAAAUCUUAUCGAGAGUCGGAUAAGUCAGCUUUACUUGUAGCCCAAGUCAAGCUGUCGCGUGUGUUUGAAAUCUGACCGUUGGAACACGUGUCAGUUCCUUAGUGACUCAGGGUCAUUUCAGACAAAUCAGGUCGGGUUGCCUCCUGGCUAUAAAUAGCCCACCCCCUACACCAUAAAUUGGUGGCUGCUCAGAGUUAGUACACGACUUUUGUCGUUUGAGAGCAACCCACCUCCAAAGCAUUUGAGAGAGAGAUCCUUGCGAGGACAAAGCCCAAAACACCCAGAGCCCAAAGAGUGUUUGGUAUCGCUGAAGUCUUUCUGUCUGUGUGACGGCGCCUCGCGGGCGACCUUGCCGGUGACCUCGGGCCUCACCGGUGGCCGCGCAUUGCGUCAAGCAGUUGCCGAACAUCGUCGAAGCGGCCGGAGCGGGUGUACAUCCCCAUUAUGGCACUAAACACCUGCACGGUGGCACCCUCCCCGACGUCGCGGGGGGGGGGGAGGGAGAUCCAUUGCCGCUCUCCAAGAGGCACUCGAAGGCGUCGAGCGCGCGCUGGCAGGAGGCUGCUCACACGGCGCACACGACGUAGGCGAGCUCGUCGGGGGACACCCAGGCGUCGUCGAGCACCUCCGCGACGGGCGUGCCGAGGGGAAUCGGGGCGCGGAAGGUGCGGGAAGCGGAGAUGGGGCCAGCGGAUGGAGGAGUCGACUCGGGGUAGUCGAAGUCGUCGCUGGUGGUGGCGGAGGACGCUCCUGUGGCCCCGGCGGUGGCACGUGGAAGGGAAGGGGAAGGGUAGUGUGGAGGAGACGAUCAUGAGAGCCAUCGGGUCCGAGGGGAAGGGGGUCAGGCGCACAUGGAGGUGGUGGUUGAGUUGGAGGUGUGGUUGCGGCGGGCGCCAUGGCCGGAGGAGAGUGGAGUGGAACGCCCACUCUGCCACUGGACGCGAUAAGGCCAACUCUAACCGAUCUUUCAUGAUGUUGCUGCUGCCGCUGCUCGCUGCCGUCAGCGUAAGCCUCGAUUAGUGCUUGCGUCGCGUGGUCACCAUGAUCGCCACUGGCCACGGAGGCGCACAACAAGUGUUCGACGAAAUGUAUGAGCCAUAUAUAACUUUAUUCCGUUACGUUUAGGGGAUCAACUAGGUCCACCAAAACUUAGUGAAGUAAAAAUACGCUACCAAAGAUUUACUCCGCCGGAACCUUCUUUAUUUUUAUGAAAUCAGUUAGAGUUGCCCUUAGCGCAGAUGGCAACUAGUCUUGAAGAGGGGCGCCAUCUCUCGCUGGCUACCCCCUUUAAAUCUUUGUAUUCUCAUGGACAUUUUGAUUUACUAAUCUGACUACAAAAACUAUAGACGGUCGCAUAUAUUUUAAAACAGUUGGUCGUAUAUAUAUACUCCCUCCGUUCUUAAAUAUUUAUCUUUUUAGAGAUUUCAAAUUGACUAUCACAUACGGAUGUAUAUAAACAUAUUUUAGAGUGUAUAUUCACUCAUUUUGCUUCGUAUGUAGUUAUCUGUUGAAAUCUCUCGAAUGACAAAUAUUUAGGAACGGAUGGAGUAGUAUAUUUUUCCGGCAAAAGUAGUACGUAGACAAACAGUUGCUUCAUGUAGAACAAUACACUGGAGAACAAGGGCAAAUACGAGCACUAGCUAGGCAGAGGCGCAGAGCUUAUUGUACACGUUGCAUUGGAUAGCUGACAAAUCCUCCAUGCAUGUCCGCACGCCGAAAUGCUAGUACCACUAGACAGUACAUCGCGCACACACUUGAAGAAAACACACCGUAGCUAGCUCGCGUCCAUGCCUCCGUGCGUCACUUCCAUCCCUACACGAGAACCGCGACUGCGGCGACAGGGCCGGCAGUGCGCAGGACGUGGAAGUAGAGCUGCCUCUUGGCCAGGAACGCCACGCGGGAUAUGACGAAGCCGGCGGCGCCCGGCGCGUUCAUCAUGGCGCCGGUGGUGGCGGGGGCGGCGGCCGCGGGCCAGAGGAAGUAGAUGCUCACGGCGCCCCCGAGGACCAUCGCCGCGGCUUUCACGGCGCCUUCGCGCGUGGAAACCGCUGCCGCCGCCUGGUUCUUGAAGUGGCCGAGGCCCGCGGCGAGGUCGGCCGUGUUCAUCUCCGCCAGCUUUCGGCGGAGGUCCGCCGGCCUAGCUGACGAGACGGUGGAUGCCAUGGCCUUCGCCUGUUGCUUGACGCUGUCAAGACUUCCGGAGAUCAGCUCCCGUGUGUUCAUCGCGGUCAGUUUUGGGUGCAGGUUCUUCUUGGCCGGCGAGAUGGACAUGGACCGUGUCUGAUGCAAAAAUUACAGAGACGUGGGAAGGUGAUAUUAUGGGAGGAAAGGAAUCAACGGUGAUGGAAGGUGACGCGGUGCGUAUGAUGUCACGCGCUGUCACCUAGUGGAGGAAUCCCAUGCGAAAGACACCUAGUUGGAUUAACAAAGUUCUUAUCGUUAAGCUCUCCACUUCAGCAGUACAAGUGUGUCCCCCCUCGUUGGUUUGUCCUUCACCCUAUUAAAAAUACUUUGCAUACCAAAUAACUGGACUUGUUAGCAACACUAGUCUACGUCUAGACCGACGACGACGACCUCGACUAGUCCACUUUCUUCAUCUAAAAGCAACCCUAGUCAUCUCACCAAAUAAACAAAAAAACAAUCAAAUAAUCGAUCCUUAAAGGGACAACAACAUCAUAUCAGUGGCAAGUGGCAAUAGGCCCCACACGCGGGCACAAUCGCACAAGGCUUUACCCAAAAGAAAAAAACAAUCGCACAAGGCUUGAAGCGCAUCUACGGCCGGGCGUGACGCGGAAGGGAACUCUUCUACCCAGUUUAAUCCGCUGCGGCAACAAGUGUAUUUGUGAAUUACAAAUCUAAACUUAAAAAGAGAAAAAACUCUAUUUUGUCGCUCAAUUCAUUGGGAGAUGCGGGUUUCACCGUUUGUCUCUACUCUUAUAAAAAACCGAAUUGGUGAUGAUGUGUGCCUGCCAUCUUGUAAUAUGGACCGUUCGAUCUAUAUCUGACGGACAGAAAGCAAACUAUGACAAUUUUACAAAAGAUACCCGCACAUCUCUUAACAUUUACAGAUAAGGCCUUGCCUCGUUCAUCCUUAUCUCCCACAACCUCAUUGCUGAGCAGUUAAAUAAGGAAAUCUCUGGAACAAUCUGGCAUGGUGGCCGCUGCCGGCGCCGUCCAUCCCCAUGCCUCCGCCCAGUCCGACCACCAGUCACCACCACGCCCCACUCCUCCUCAACUUAUCUCUCAUCUUUCUCGAGAUAUAAUUUUUUUUGAUGAAAUUCUCGAGAUGCCAUUUUUUCGAUAAAAUUCUCGAGAUAUCAUUAGUUUUUACACAAGGGAUUACUCCUGCAUGGAUCAAUCACAACAGGCGUUUUGUAAAAAAAAUGUAUCUUGAUGUUCCGUGCAAUGCACGAGCAUCUUGCUAGUCAACUUCAAAAUCGGAUAAGCUGGACCUUAAAUGUUCCAACCCAACAAGUUCGAUCAUGCAAAACAACAUCAGUGAAGACAUGAUGCAACCAUCCUAUCUCUCAUUGGUUCUUGAUGCUUUGGUUUCUUGUAACCAACAGAAGGAGUCUACAGGAGUUGCAUAAUUUCUUCUCAACUAAUGCGGAAUUAAGGAGGAAAAGAAGAUUUUGAGAGUGUAUACUUAACCUUAUGUCUGUAGUAACUCAAUGAUAUGUUUGGACUACCUGUUGGAUUUACAAUGAUGUUUAAGCCAAAUUAUACUACACCAUAAGUUUCACAAAUUUUGUACCAACAUAUUGAUGUGUGGCACCCCUAUUAUACUACACAAAAAGUGCAUGUAUGUGGACCUUACUUGUGUGUUUCUAUAAUGGAUUUGAUGUGCCUAGUGUAGCAAAUGGUGGUGUGGUGUCUUGGACUGCCUGAGUAAUGACUAUGCAUUGGUUAUGCCAAGUUUGCCUUGGUUCUUGUUGUCUUUCAUGUUUGAUGACCAGGCAUCAAUUCAACAAUCCUUCUUGCAAGAGGCAUCCCCUGCCGGCCCCUACCCCGUCAUGCAUGGUGUAUUCAACGAUAUUAGGAUCAUGGCCAUUUGUGUGGGUAGCUAAUGUGAUUUUUUGAUAUGACAGAUGUUAGCUCCAGUCAUGCUAGUUUGGUUUUAUAUUGUCUCUUUAUUGCGACCAUAGAGCAACGACCUCGAUAUGUGAAAGAUUAAAGACAUUGUCUUCAACUAACCUUGAUGCAGCCUUCAGUUUUGAGAUAGUAUGAUUGUUCAUAUUUAUUUUUGUUUCUUUUAUGUAUGUACCAUUUGAACCUCUCUUUCAUAUGUGUAUUUUUUACGCAAUAAAAAUCGCCAUCCGCUAUCCAGAGAUAAUGGAGAAACAAGUUUCACAUUCAUUUUUUCAAAGAAAGAAGAAGAAAAAGUGCCACCUAGCACGAGCACCGACCAUAGCGAAAGAGUCCAAACACGAUUGGUAGCAAGAAUGGCACAAAAAAGUGAGGGUAAACCAAAUGCCUCUGCAUCAAUUGACACAUUCGUUAUUUAUCAAAAAUCUUCACGAACGGUCUCCAUGGAAUCCCCUAGCGCAACACCCUAUGAGUCAUUUGAUUUGCUUUUGCGGCCACUCGUGCCAUAGUCGUGAUGGAAGCGUGACAUCAAGACAACAACAUGGUCACUUCAUGUGGUGUCUGGCAAUAUAGACACCCCACUAUAGAUGUGUUCUUAUUACCAAGUUUCAUGGUCUCACAAACCGCAUAAAUAAACGAGGCUGGGACAUCGCCUCCUAAAAUGAGGACAUGUCUAUCAUCGCCUUGCGGCCAGUACGACUAGUGGGAUCAGUGUUUUGGGUCGGCGAGGCGGCAACGGGGAUCCAACCAAUGGAUUCUAUCCUCCGAGACUACCUCUGUCAGGGGUGUUUCCUCUAGCACAACUCAAGAGCUCGUGAGGAUUUUACACAAGUGAAUCAAUCGGCAGUGUCGAUCUAUCUAGCAAUGAAAGCGCAUGCGGGGAUGCUAGCUUUUCAAUAUCAAGGGAUGUGUCCUGAAGGCGGUAGAUCAGGCGUUUUGCUCCGACUUUGUCGACGACAAUCAACGGAUCUAGACUCGAAAGGUAUGGGGAUAAUCCCGGGUUAACACACCACAACAACAUCCAUCGAUGAUUGUCCUCUUGUUCUGGCGAUGAUGUGCAAUGUGGAUGGCACUCGAAGAAAAUUCUAUGGACUUUGUUGUAAUUUAUUUUCUUUUUUUAGAAGAACAGGGAGCACCUCCCCGGUUCUAUUGCUCAGAAUGAAACCACACAACCAACCAAGUCUGUUACAGAAGCACAAAAAGAGCAGUUCAAAAUAAAAAGCAGAAAACGAGCUAGCUAGUAAGUAGCAUUAUUACAAGGGCCACCAGCAGGGCCAAGUCUCACUAAAGAGCUAAGGAGAAGAGCUUUUCAACGGACACAGGGAGGAUCCAGCGUUGCCUUCAUGGUCUUCGGACGUGGAGCAGCGUCCGCCUGCGGUGACCAGCAAGCGAUAAGAGUAGACACCGGGCUAGAUGGGACAACAUUGUGGAUAUCUCUCUUCUUUGGCGACAUGAGCCCUUCACCGUCUUUUGAGAUCUUCAGCUUUUACCAGGGAUCCAGCCCCAGAGAAGAGCAUGGUUUGCUCAGCCACUUGUGAUCUCCAAAGGUCUCUGAAGGUACAUUGCGAGGAACCCCACAAAGGUCAUUAGCUUUACUUUGUCUGAUCCCAAGGAGAGGAUCAUCCAGUUCCUCACUGUGCUCAAGAUCAAUCUCAAGACCUGAGGAACAGAAAUCCAGGUGGUGUUAUCAAAAUCAUAGCAUUUCUAUAUUUCCAGACACACCACAGGACUGUUGAGCUAACAGUAUUCAAAACAUAGCACUGCUUGUUAGCAAUCCAGAAUCUAGCAACAUAUUCAAAGGAAGAGCCAAUCUGAGUGUUGAAGUAAUCAACAGGGACCCAAAGGUGCUUGGCAACAAUGCAAUCAAAGAAAAGGUGGGAUCAGGAUUCUUGCUCCAAACAAUAGACACAUUCAAGGGGUUUGAUGAUGUGUCUUUUUCUAAGAUUAUCCCUGGUCAUCAGCUUGUUGUUAGAGAGGAGCCAGAGAAAGACAUGAAUUUUGGGGGGAACUCUCAACUUCCAGACUGCUGGGAUGAAAAUAGGCUGAACCCCCCUAAAAUUAAUAAUAUGCUAGAGGGAGCUAGAGGAGUAUUGCCCCCUGUUUUCUAAUUGCCAGAUCGGAGAAUCUAUCUCAUCAAAAAAGACAAUACUCCUAGCAAUUUCCUCCAGCUGGAACCAUUGUUCCAUAAGUUUGUCACUAAAGUUCCUUCUGAAAGAGAGUUUGAGGCAUUGCCCAUCCCAGAUCUCAUUUACACAUUUAUUUUGUUCAUUGCAGAUCGAAUAGAUAGGCCAAAAUUGGACAACUAGAGGGGAAGUGCCAAACCGGGUAUCUUCCCAGAACCUGGUUUUGCCCCAUCCCCAAUGCUCCAUCUGUAACCAAAUUUCACAUCAUGGAUAAUAGACUUCAACCCUUUCCAGAAUCUAGAGAUUUUCUGGUUGGAGGAGGAGGCAAAGAUGUUAGGCUUAUUGGCCAAGUAUUUGUGCUCAAUAAGCAUCUUCCAGGGUUUUUGGUCUGUCUCAUAGUAUCUUUUGAUCCUGGAUCCUAACAAACAAAUGUUAAUUUCUUGGAGAUUGGGAAUGCCCAAACCUCCAAACUCCUUUUUCAUGGAGACCAGCCCCAAGUUAGCUAGGUGAAUCUUUCUAUGUCCUUCAAAAUCAUUCCACAGGCAAUGGGACAUCUGUGAGUUGAUGAGACUAACAACCCAUUUAGGGAAUUUGAAGAAGGAAAGGAGGUACACAGGAAUGCUAGCAAGGUAGGCUUGAAUGAGGAUCAACCUACCUCUGUAAGACAGGAGUUUUCCUCUCCAUCCUGCAAUCCUCUUAAUGAUUUUGUCUAAAAGGGGCUGGAUGUCUUCUCUCCUAAGUGUAUCAUAAUGGAGAAGGAUGCCUAAAUAUUUAAUGGGAAAGCUACCACUACUGCAAACUAAAAUGUUUAGAAAGCCAACCAGUUCUUGGUCAUCCAUAUUGAUGGGAAUGAGCUCACUUUUGGAGUAGUUAAUUCUCAUGCAUGAAACUUGAUCAAUGCAAGUCAAAACAAUUUUAAAGUUGCUAGCAUGAUUUAAGUCAUUAUCUAGAAAGAGGAUUGUGUCAUUUGCAUAUUGAAGACAGAUGAUCCCACCAGGGAAAACCUCAGGGCAAAGGCCAGCAAUUAAGUUGUGAUCAACAGCCUUGCUCAACAUUUUUGGUGAGUACAUCAACAACCAGGUUAAAAAGAAGAGGUGAAAUAGGGUUACCUUGCCAAAGACCUUUACGAGCUAGGAAAUAAUCACUCUCACAACCAUUUAACUUUACCCCAAUAGACCCCCCAUGAGUAAGCUGAUGGAUCCAGCUAGACCAUUUCUUCCAAAACCCCCGAGCUCCAGGAGUUCCAUGAGGAAAUUAAGGUCUACUUUGUCAAAGGCUUUUUCAUAGUCCAAUUUUGGAACAAGGCCUUUUUUAUUCCCAGAGUGGACAGAGUGAAGGACUUCAUGAGCAGUGACCACACUUUCAAGGAUGUAUCUCCCUUUGAGGAAUGCAGAUUGAUUGCUAGCAAACAAUCUCUGCAAUACUUUAGAGAGCCUAGUGGUGAGUACUUUAGAGAAAAUUUUAAAACUACGGUUAAUCAGACUGAUAUGUCUGAUUUUUUUCACAGAGGUGGCUUUAGGCUCUUUAGGGAUAAGAGACAAUAUUGCAAAGUUUAGUCUAAAUAUAUCUAGCUCCCCUCUAUGAAAGACCUGAAAGAGGUCCAUAAUGUCCUUCUUGAUCAAGUCCCAAAAGUGUUGGUAGAAAAGGAAAGGAAUUCCAUCAGGAGCAGGGGAUCCAUCUGGAUAGGAGCUGGAAACAGCUUCCUUCACUUCUGCUUCUGAAAAUGGAGCUUCAAGCAGCUCAUUCUGAGAAUGGGAAAAUUUAUCAGAAACAGAGAAGAAGUUUUCUUGAAUAGAGAAACUAGAGGGGUUUUCUUUCUUGAAAAGCUCUUUAUAAAAUUCACUGGCCACUUUUAGCAUUUCACUAGUACCAGUGACAGGACCAUUAGGACCAUCCAGAGAGUGAAUGAGGGUCUUCCUCCUCCUCUGAUUGGCAACAACAUGAAAAUAGGCAGUGUUUCUAUCCCCCUCCUUAAUAUCCCUAUCUCUAGAUCUUUGUUUAGCUUUAAUCUCUUCCUGGAGCCAGAUUUUCUUUUGUUCACCAUGAACAGAGUUCAACCUGGCAAGCUCAGCCUCAGUGAGGUCAGAGGUUUCAGCCUUAAUAUCUAGAGAAUCAAAUUCAAGGAGAAGAAUCCAUUUAUACCUCCUAAGAUUGGCCUCCUCAUUGGAGUUCUAGCCUUUAGUAGUUUUCCUAAAUCUUCUAAUUUUGAUUUUCCAGCUUUCUAGAGGACAGCUACUCCCAGUGGGUUCGAACCAGAUCUUCCUGACUAAUUCAGAAAAAUCCUCUCUUAUGAGCCACCACUUUUCAAACUUAAAGCUGUCGUUUUUAGGAUCUUGGUUAAUUCCAGAGUCCCAAAGCAGAGGGGUAUGAUCACUGCCACAUCUGGGCAGAGCUCUACAACUAGAAAGAGGAAAUAGCCCAUCUAAUUCUAUGUCACAAAAGAUUCUAUCAAUGGUGGACAUAAUCAAAUCUUUUUGAUUAUUGGCCCAGGUAAAUUUCCUAGAAGAGAGCUUAAUUUCAAGUAAGCUCCAUAUCUCAAUCCAGGCAUUGAAUUUAUCACUCCACUUAUGGUUAAUAGAACCAUUGCUUUUAUCCUCAGCAUUCCUGACCAGAUUGAAGUCACCCACAAUCAGAGUAGGAAUGUGGGCAUCUAGAAAUAAAGUAUGAAGUUCAGAGAUAAAAGCUCAUUUCCCUUCUUCAUAGGGAGAGCCAUAAACAGUAAUAAUCCUAAAAGUAUGCCCAGUAGUUUUCAACUUUACUAGACAACUGAUAGAAAACUCUAAGUGGGACCAAGAAACAAUAUAAAAAAUGCUUAAAUCUAUUCCCAUCAGGAUGCCUCCAGCACAUCCUUUAGAUGGAAGUGAGUGCCAGUCAAAAUCCCUAUACCCAGUAAGGGAUUUAAGAUAAGAAGUAGAGAAGUCCUCCUUGGUUUCUUGAAAACCUAGGACAGUAGCAUGAGUUUUAUUGAUAGUAUCAACUAUGAGAGACUCCCAGGGGCUGCAAUCCACCUAACAUUCCAAAAGAGGGCAUUCAUGGGAAGAUUUUGUUCCUGGGGUGCUUGCCCCACCUAUGUUUGCAAAUAAGAGACCAAAGCCCCUCACUAGAAUUAGCAGGAGGGUCUAUGCAAUCUAAACUAGGGUUGCUAUCAAAAGGAAGAUUUCCAGUAACAGAACCUUCAGUUCUGAUUUGUGGAAGAUUAGUAACAGAAGAGCACUUGUUAUCAUCAUUAAGAUAGGUAAUAUCUACACCAAUCAUAGAUGCAAUGACAUUAAAAGAAGGAUCAUUAAAGAAAGAGAAGGACUUGUGUUUCAUACCCAGGGGUUAUUGAACUUCAAGAUUCUGAACCUCUUUGAGUUGUCUGGCUUUUUCAAUGAUAGUUCUCUAUUUACUAACCACCCUAGAACUGGCUCUAGUGGCCUAGACAGGGCCCCAUUUAGUAGGAUGCAAGUCUUUGGGUAGAGCAGGGAAGUCAGAGUCAUAUUGUGGAUCCACAUUGUUUGACAGAUCAGCAUCUUGAGAGAGUGAGUCUUGAUCCUCUUAUAGAUCUAAAGAUCCUUCUAAUCUGUCAGGUCAUCAUCUUCUAGCAGCCCCAUUUCUCUGAGUAGAUUAAAACCAUCAGCAUCUUCAUGUACAGAGUUCAGGAUAUUUUCAAGGUUGUUGACUUGAGGAGUGUAAGGAGAUUCAGGCAGCUGUCUUUUUAAGACUGAUGUGGGGGUAACAUCUCCAAGCAAAUGAUUGUGUCCCAAAGAUUGCCCUCUGAAAUUAUGAGCCCCUGAGCCAGUUGUAGGACCUCUGUCAGAAUCGGCCCUAGAGCUCCUGUUGGACUUAGCAUCUUCAGAGGUGUUGUUUCAAGGCUCAGCAGUAGACACAUAGGUCCCAGAGGAAGGGUUGGUGGAUGUGCAUGUAUCAGUGACAGUCACGGGUGGUUCCACUUCAAUCAGGAGCCUGUAUAUUUUAUCAUCCACACCAAACAAUCUCUCUGCAGGGAUUUUGGAGGGACCUUUGCAGGAGAUUUUGACCCUGACAGUUUCAUAGAAGGACUUGAAAUUAUGUUGCCAAUCCACAUUCAGCAUCACACCCAAUGUAGAAGUGAUUUGGUCAAGCAUAGACUAAUCACACCACUUUUGGUUCAUUUUCCUAAUUUUGAUCCAAGUUUCCUGGAGAUCAUCUUCAGCCUCAAUCCUGCCUUUCCAGAGUUCAACAUUGACAACAACAUUGUCUUUUUUGAGAUCAAAACAAGGAUAUCCAGCAACUUGCACUACAUCCAUCUCAAGAGGGAACUUGACCAGAAAUGUCCAUUCAUCCUGAGCAUUAUAAUUGGCCAAGGCCAGUUUGUUUUGUAUAUGUCAGCAAACUCAUUGGCAAGCUCCCGCUUGGACACUUCACCAGCCUCAACAAGAACAAUGCCUACAUUUUUCAGUGAGCCAUGAUAUUGAGCAUUAUCUUCAGGGGGUCAAUGUGGCAGAAACCUAAACCAGGAGUGACACUUCCCACAUAUCUAGCAGAGUUGUGAGGCUUCCUUCUGAUAGGACAAUUAUCCACCUUGUGGGUGACUGCCGGUGUCAAAACCGGCGGAUCUCGGGUAGGGGGUCCCGAACUGUGCGUCUAGGCGGAUGGUAACAGGAGACAAGGGACACGAUGUUUUUACCCAGGUUCGGGCCCUCUCGAUGGACGUAAAACCCUACUCCUGCUUGAUUAAUAUUGAUGAUAUGGGUAGUACAAGAGUAGAUCUACCACGAGAUCAGAGAGGCUAAACCCUAGAAUCUAGCCUAUGGUAUGAUUGUUGUUCUAUCCUACGGACUAAAACCCUCCGGGUUAUAUAGGCACCGAAGAGGGUUAGGGUUACACAGAGUCGGUUACCAUGCUAGGAGAUCUACAUAUCCGUAUCGCCAAGCUUGCCUUCCAUGCCAAGGAAAGUCCCAUCCGGACACGGGACGAAGUCUUCAAUCUUGUAUCUUCAUAGUCCAGGAGUCCGGCCAAAGGCUAUAGUCCAGCCAUCCGGACACCCUCUAAUCCAGGACUCCCUCAGUAGCCCCUGAACCAGGCUUCAAUGACGACGAGUCCGGCGCUCAUAUUGUCUCCGGCAUUGCAAGGCGGGUUCCUCCUCCGAAUACUUCAUAGAAGAUUUUGAACACAAGGAUAGUGUCCGGCCUUGCAAAAUAAGUUCCACAUACCACUGUAGAGAGAAUAAUAUUUACACAAAUUCAAUCUGCUGACGUAUUUUGUGGCGUGACAUCACACCACGGCCAAGCUUUUAUUCAAAUCGUUUUUACUGUCCCACCUCAGCACGUUUAGCGAGGCGGUUUCCUUGGCACGUCUUGUCAAAGCAGAGAUCGUGUCCCCUUAUCCCGGGAUUCUCAUCAAUACGGGCGUGGGUAACCCAACCGCGCCAUUGAUUACGGCGCUUGGGAGAUAAGCGAGUUUUACCAGGCUGGUGGGGACGCAUAGCUUCGUCCGUCCAUAUAAGGGGAUAAGGAUCCACCUUUUUACCUACGCCUUCUUCCUCCUUUGCUCAUCCAUUUCCGCGCACUCGAGCUCCAGCGCCCAAGUCCGCACAUCUCACCUCAACCUUCCCCAGUCAUGUCCGGAGCGGGAGGCAAGUGGAUGGCCUCCUCCGUCACAGAGGGGCACAUUAAAAGGCUUCGGAAGGCCGGAUACUUGUCCAGUGACAUCGCGCAUCGGCUCCCCGACAAGGGGCAACUUAUCCCCACCCCCAGGCCCCAUGAGAGGGUGGUGUUCCUCACCCACUUCCACUGCGGACUAGGUUUUCCACUUCACCCAUUUGUCCGGGGGCUCAUGUUCUACUACGGCCUGGAUUUCCACGAUCUGGCCCCGAAUUUCAUCCUCAACAUCUCGGCGUUCAUCGUCGUGUGCGUGGCCUUCCUCCGCAUCCAGCCUCACUUCAGCUUAUGGCUGAAGACCUUCGAUGUCAAGCCGAAGGUUGUGGGCGGCCGCCAAGCGGAGUGCGGAGGUGCCAUGGUGGGCAAGAUGGCCAACGUCCUAUGGCUCGAGGGCUCCUUCGUGGAGACCAUAAAGGGGUGGCAAUCGGGGUGGUUCUACAUCACCGAGCCGCGUGACCCUAAAUGGUUGGCGGCCCCCGAAUUCCGAUCUGGCUUCCCUACACGGCUCACCUCUUGGAAAGAGACGGGCCUGACAUGGGGUAAUUCGGAAGAGCUGACCGGACUCCAAUCCUGCGUCCAAAACCUGGUGAGGAAGAAGCUCAAGCUCGUCAAUGUAGUCCAGGUCAUGCUCAUCCACCGGAUCCUCCAGUGCCAACAACGGGCCUUCAACUUGUGGGAGUUUGAUCCGGCACAGCACCAAACCUUGUGCAGGCUCUUCGACACUACGUAUGAAGAUGCCUGGAAGGUGCUGUUCAAGGGCGCCGAGGCUCCCACAUCCGCUACCGAAGAACGCGGAUUUAGCUCGCAGCGUCAAGCCGGCGAGGUAAGCUAUUUUACCCUUUACAGGACACUUGUUUUUCAUAGUUUGACUCUAUGUGGGAUCUAAACUCCCUUACCUUUGACAGGCCUGGCAAAAGACGUCCGGGCAGGUUAAUUGUCCGGCUCCCUUGCCAGAAGACCCAGCGGACGCCCAAUUAAUGGGGCUGCUGGUUCCGGCGCCUUACAUGGUGCCGGAGUAGAAGGCCGAGAAGAAGGCCACGGGAACUUGAAGGAGUUCCCGGCGCCAGGUGUUGUCGGACUCAUCGUCCGAUGACUCCGAGGCGGACUCCUCCCGCGAAGACGAGGAGGAGGAAAAAGAGGCCUCUCCCCCAGUGGGGGGAGAGAAGAAAAGGAAGGCCGCCCCAACUGGGGAGGCCGGAGGGUCCAAGAAGGGAAGGACCCUUCCUCCGGACGACUCUACCAACGCCAAAGACGGCGAAGAGGAGUGGCCACCGAGGGUUAAGCCCCUGGCGAAAUCGUAAGUGUCCGGAUACCAGAAUAACUCAUGGCGUUUCAUUUGUCGCACAGUAUCUCCUAACGUCGAAUAUAACCCUGCAGCCCGCCCAAGGACGAGAUCAGCGCUUCAACGAGCGGCUACCUGGCUUCGUCGGACGUGAAUAGCACCUCACUUCCGGCUGCCUCCUCUCCUCGCGCUGCGGAUGACGCCGAGGUGGGGUCCCAAAAGGGGCCCAGCCAGGAGGAGGUGGUCCAGGAGGCGUCGCAAGGCAACCUCCCGGACUCCAAGCGAAGGGGGAUAAAACCCCAAAGGGUUCUAAGUUCGUCCCUGGGCCGGACUCCGCACCGGAACCUUCAGUGGUUCCGGAGCCCGGCAGGCGGCCCUUUCGUAAGAAGGGAGAGACUGCGACACCGGUGACCUCCGUCCAACCGGAGGCACCGGAUAACUUGCUGGAGGCGCUUAACAGCGCCUCCAUCGACGAGGAGCACCGCACUGUUAUGAGUGUGGUGAUCCAGAAAUUCAGUCUGCGAAGAGUGGGCUGACUGAAGCUUGUGCCAGCCUUCUAACAGGCUUUGAGGUAUGUAUUUAAGAUAUGUAAAAAUAUUACCGCAUAGACAGUAGCCCCUGAUGCUCAGUUUGGUGUUCGGAAAGAAAAGCCGAACUGAGGAUCUAAAAAGAUGUACGCAGGAGUCUAACAUAAGUAUGUCAAUAUGGCAAAUGUAGGCUGCGCUGCUGACGUCUACCGCACUGAUUGCGGAGGUCAAUGCAUUGAAGCAGAGCCGCGAGCGGUCCGAGAACGAGCUCGGCCUUGCCAAAAAGUAGCUCGAGGACAAGGAAGGUAAGCAAGACCUUAUGGAAGUAUAUAAAAGAUGUGGUUGCAAAAAAUGACAGGAAUAACGUGAGUAUUGCAGGGGCCACGAACGAGGUGGCGACCCUGAAGGAAGCGGUUGUUGGGGAACGUUGCAGAAAAUUAAAAUUUUUCCUGCGGUUUCACCAAGAUCCAUCUAUGAGUUCAUCUAAGAAACGAGUCAAGGGAGAGAGUUUGCAUCUACAUACCACUUGUAGAUCACGAGCGGAAGCUAGCCAAGGGGAUGGUGAUGAUGGAGUCGUACUCGAACGUGAUUCGGAUCACCGAUGUCCAAGUGCUGAACGGACAGCACCUCCGCGUUCAACACAUGUACGGGACGGGAGACGUCUCCUCCUUCUUGAUCCAGCAAGGGGGAAGGAUAGGUUGAGGAAGAUUGCUCCAACGGCAGCACGACGGCGUGGUGUAGUUGGUGCAGCAGUACUCCGACAGGGCUUCGCCAAGCAUAUACGGAGGAGGAGAGGUGUUGGGGAGGGGAGGGGCUGCGCCUUGGCUUGUGUUAAGCUCCCAUGCGCCUCCCCACUAUAUAUAGGGGUGGAGGGGCUGGUUUCUUGCCCUCCAAGUCCAUUGGGGCGUUGGCCAAGGUGGGAGGAAAGAAAUCCCAUCAUUUCCUUCCCCACCGAUUGUUAUCCCCCCUUUUUAGGGAUCUUGAUCUUAUCCCUUCGGGAUAUGAUCUUAUUCCUUCUAAGGGGGGAUCUUGGUGCGCCUUGACCAGGGGUGUGGGGCCUUUCCCCCACUACUCACGUUCAUGUGGGUCCCCCCAUGCAGGUGGGCCCCACUCCAGAACCUUCUAGAACCUUCCCGGUACAAUACCGAAAAAUCCCGAACAUUUUCCGGAGUCCAAAAUAGGACUUCCCAUAUAUAAAUCUUUACCUCCGGACCAUUCCAAAACUCCUCGUGACGUCCGGGAUCUCAUCCGGGACUCCGAACAACAUUCGGUAACCACAUACAAACUUCCUUUAUAACCCUAGCGUCAUCGAACCUUAAGUGUGUAGACCCUACGGGUUCGGGAGACAUGUAGACAUGACCGAGACGUUCUCCGGUCAAUAACCAACAGCGGGAUCUGGAUACCCAUGUUGGCUCCCACAUGCUUCUCGAUGUUGUCAUCGGAUGAACCACGAUGUCGAGGAUUCGAUCAAACCCUGUAUACAAUUCCCUUUGUCAAUCGGUACGUUACUUGCCCGAGACUCGAUCGUCGGUAUCCCAAUACCUUGUCCAGUCUCGUUACCGGCAAGUCACUUUACUCGUACCGUAAUGCAUGAUCUCGUGGCCAACACUUUGGUCACCUUGAGCUCACUAUGAUGAUGCAUUACCGAGUGGGCCCAGAGAUACCUCUCUGUCAUACGGAGUGACAAAUCCCAGUCUCGAUCCGUGUCAACCCAACAGCUACUUUCGGAGAUACCUGUAAUGCACCUUUAUAGUCACCCAGUUACGUUGUGACGUUUGAUACACCCAAGGCACUCCUACGGUAUCCGGGAGUUACACAAUCUCAUGGUCUAAGGAAGAGAUACUUGACAUUGGCAAAGCUCUAGCAAACGAACUAAACGACCUUUGUGCUAUGCUUAGGAUUGGGUCUUGUCCAUCACAUCAUUCUCCUAAUGAUGUGAUCCCAUUAUCAACGACAUCCAAUGUCCAUAGCCAGGAAAUCAUGACUAGCUGUUGAUCACAACGAGCUAGUCAACUAGAGGCUCACUAGGGACAUAUUGAGGUCUAUGUAUUCACACGUGUAUUACGAUUUCCGGAUAAUACAGUUAUAGCAUGAAUAAAAGACAAUUAUCAUGAACAAUGAAAUAUAAUAAUACUUUUAUUAUUGCCUCUAGGGCAUAUUUCCAACAGUCUCCCACUUGCACUAGAGUCACCAAUCUAGUUACAUUGUGAUGAAUCGAACACCCAUAGAGUUCUGGUGUUGAUCAUGUUUAGCUCGCGAGAGAGGUUUAGUCAACGGAUCUGCGACAUUCAGAUCCGUAUGUACUUUGCAAAUUUCUAUGUCUCCAUCUUGAACAUUUUCACGGAUGGAGUUGAAACGACGCUUGAUGUGCCUGGUCUUCUUGUGAAACCUGGGCUCCUUGGCAAGGGCAAUAGCUCUAGUGUUGUCACAGAAGAGUUUGAUUGGCCCCGACGCAUUGGGUAUGACUCCUAGGUCGGUGAUGAACUCCUUCACCCAAAUCGCUUCAUGCGCUGCCUCCGAGGCUGCCAUGUACUCCGCUUCACACGUAGAUCCCGCCACGACGCUCUGCUUGCAGCUGCACCAGCUUACUGCUCCACCAUUCAACAUAUACACAUAUCCGGUUUGUGACUUAGAGUCAUCCGGAUCUGAGUCGAAGCUAGCGUCGACGUAACCCUUUACGACAAGCUCUUCGUCUCCUCCAUAAACGAGAAACAUGUCCUUUGUCCUUUUCAGGUACUUCAGGAUAUUCUUGACUGCUGUCCAGUGUUCCUUGCCGGGAUUACUUUGGUAUCUAGCUACCAAACUCACGGCAAGGUUUACAUCAGGUCUGGUACACAACAUGGCAUACAUAAUAGAUCCUAUGGCUGAAGCAUAGGGGAUGACACUCAUCUCUUCUUUAUCUUUUGCCGUGGUCGGUGACUGAGCCGAGCUCAAUCUCACACCUUGUAACAUAGGCAAGAACCCCUUCUUGGACUGAUCCAUUUUGAACCUCUUCAAAAUCUUAUCAAGGUAUGUGCUUUGUGAAAGACCUAUGAGGCGUCUCGAUCUAUCUCUAUAGAUCUUGAUGCCUAAUAUGUAAGCAGCUUCUCCAAGGUCCUUCAUUGAAAAACACUUAUUCAAGUAGGCCUUAAUGCUGUCCAGAAAUUCUAUAUUAUUUCCCAUCAAGAGUAUGUCAUCUACAUAUAAUAUGAGAAAUGCUACAGAGCUCCCACUCACUUUCUUGUAAACGCAGGCUUCUCCAUAAGUCUGCAUAAACCCAAACGCUUUGAUCAUCUCAUCAAAGAGAAUAUUCCAACUCCGAGAUGCUUGCACCAGCCCAUAAAUGGAUCGCUGGAGCUUGCAUACUUUGUUAGCGUUCUUAGGAUCGACAAAACCUUCCGGCUGCAUCACAUACAGUUCUUCCUUAAGAUGCCCAUUAAGGAAUGCUGUUUUGACGUGCAUCUGCCAUAUCUCAUAAUCAUAGUAUGCGGCAAUUGCUAACAUGAUUCGGACGGACUUUAGCUUCGCUACGAGAGAGAAUGUCUCGUCGUAGUCAAUCCCUUGAACCUGUCGAUAACCCUUAGCGACUAGUCGAGCUUUAUAGAUGGUGACAUUACCAUCCGCGUCUGUCUUCUUCUUAAAGAUCCAUUUGUUUUCUAUCGCUGUCCGAUCAUCGGGCAAGUCUGUCAAAGUCCAUACUUUGUUUUCAUACAUGGAUUCUAUCUCGGAUUUCAUGGCUUCAAGCCAUUUGUUGGAAUCUGGGCCCGUCAUCGCUUCUUCAUAGUUCAAAGGUUCACCGUUGUCUAACAACAUGAUUUCCAGGACGGGGUUGCCGUACCACUCUGGUGCGGAACGUGUCCUUGUGGACCUACGAAGUUCAGUAGCAACUUGAUCCGAAGUACCUUGAUCAUCAUCAUUGGUUUCCUCUUCAGUUGGUGUGGGCAUCACAGGAACAUUUUCCUGAGCUGCACCACUUUCCCGUUCGAGAGGUAGUACUUCAUCGAGUUCUACUUUCCUCCCACUUACUUCUUUCGAGAGAAACUCUUUUUCCAGAAAGCAUCCGUUCUUGGCAACAAAGAUUUUUUCCCUCGGAUCUUAAGUAGAAGGUAUACCCGACAGUUUCCUUAGGGUAUCCUAUGAAGACGCAUUUUUCCGACUUGGGUUCGAGCUUUUCAGGUUGAAGUUUCUUGACAUAAGCAUCGCAUCCCCAAACUUUUAGAAACGACAGCUUAGGUUUCUUCCCAAACCAUAAUUCAUACGGUGUCAUCUCAACGGAUUUAGACGGUGCCCUAUUUAAAGUGAAUGUAGCUGUCUCUAGAGCGUAUCCCCAAAAUGAUAGCGGUAAAUCAGCAAGAGACAUCAUAGACCGCACCAUAUCCAAUAGAGUGCGAUUACGAUGUUCGGACACACCGUUUCGCUGAGGUGUUCCAGGCGGCGUGAGUUGUGAAACGAUUCCACAUUUCCUUAAGUGUGUGCCAAAUUCGUGACUUAAAUAUUCUCCUCCACGAUCUGAUCGUAGGCACUUUAUCUUUCGGUCACGUUGAUUCUCCACCUCAUUCUGAAAUUCCUUGAACUUUUCAAAGGUCUCAGACUUGUGUUUCAUUAAGUAGACAUACCCAUAUCUACUUAAGUCAUCAGUGAGAGUGAGAACAUAACGAUAUCCUCCGCGAGCCUCAACGCUCAUUGGACCGCACACAUCGGUAUGUAUGAUUUCCAAUAAGUUGGUUGCUCGCUCCAUUGUUCCGGAGAACGGAGUCUUGGUCAGCUUGCCCAUGAGGCAUGGUUCGCACGUGUCAAACGAUUCAUAAUCAAGAGACUCUAAAAGUCCAUCGGCAUGGAGCUUCUUCAUGCGCUUGACACCAAUGUGACCAAGGCGGCAGUGCCACAAGUAUGUGGGACUAUCGUUAUCAACUUUACAUCUUUUGGCAUCUACACUAUGAACAUGUGUAAUAUUACGCUCGAGAUUCAUUAAGAAUAAACCAUUGACCAUCGGAGCAUGACCAUAAAACAUAUCUCUCAUAUAAAUCGAACAACCAUUAUUCUUAGACUUAAAUGAGUAGCCAUCUCGUAUUAAACGAGAUCCAGAUACAAUGUUCAUGCUCAAACUUGGCACUAAAUAACAAUUAUUAAGGUUCAAAACUAAUCCCGUAGGUAAAUGUAGAGGCAGCGUGCCGACGGCGAUCACAUCGACUCUGGAACCAUUCCCGACGCGCAUCGUCACCUCGUCCUUCGCUAGUCUCCGUUUAUUCCGCAGCUCCUGCUGUGAGUUACAAAUAUGAGCAACGGCACCGGUAUCAAAUACCCAGGAGUUACUACGAGUACUGGUAAGGUACACAUCAAUUACAUGUAUAUCAAAUAUACCUUUGGUUUUGCCAGCCUUCUUAUCUGCUAAGUAUUUGGGGCAGUUCCGCUUCCAGUGACCCUUCCCCUUGCAAUAAAAGCACUCAGUCUCAGGCUUAGGUCCAUUCUUUGACUUCUUCCCGGUAACUGGCUUACCAGGCGCGGCAACCUCCUUGCCGUCCUUCUUGAAGUUCUUCUUACCCUUGCCCUUUUUGAACUUAGUGGUCUUAUUGACCAUCAACACUUGAUGUUCUUUCUUGAUUUCAGCCUCUGCUGACUUCAGCAUCGAGAACACUUCAGGAAUGGUCUUUUCCAUCCCCUGCAUGUUGUAGUUCAUCACAAAGCUCUUGUAGCUUGGUGGGAGCGACUAGAGGAUUCUGUCAAUGACCGCCUCAUCUGGGAGGUUAAUGUUCAGCUGGGUCAUACGGUUGUGCAACCCAGACAUCUUCAGGAUGUGCUCACUGACAGAACUGUUUUCCUCCAUCUUACAACUGUAGAACUUGUCGGAGACAUCAUAUCUCUCGACCCGGGCAUGAGCUUGGAAAACUAGUUUCAGCUCUUCGAACAUCUCAUAUGCUCCGUGAUGCUCAAAACGCUUUUGGAGCCCCGGUUCUAAGCUGUAAAGCAUGCCGCACUGAACGAGGGAGUAAUCAUCAGCGCGAGUUUGCCAAGCAUUCAUAAUGUCUUGGUUCUCUGGGACGGGAGCGUCACCUAGCGGUCCUUCUAGGACAUAUUGUUUCCUGGCAGCUAUGAGGAUGAUCCUCAGGUUCCGGACCCAGUCCGUAUAGUUGCUGCCAUCAUCUUUCAGCUUGGUUUUCUCUAGGAACGCGUUGAAGUUCAUGUUGACAUGAGCGUUGGCCAUUUGAUCUACAAGACAUAUUUGCAAAGGUUUUAGACUAAGUUCAUGAUAAUUAAGUUCUAAUCAAAUUAUGAAAUCCCACUCAGAUUAGACAUCCCUUUAGUCAUCUAAGUGUUACACGAUCCGAGUUGACUAGGCCGUGUCCGAUCAUCACGUGAGACGGACUAGUCAUCGUCGGUGAACAUUCUCAUGUUGAUCGUAUCUUCCAUACGACUCGUGUUCGACCUUUCGAUCUCCGUGUUCCGAGGCCAUGUCUGCACAUGCUAGGCUCGUCAAGUUAACCCUAAGUGUUUUCGCUGUGUAAAACUGUCUUACACCCGUUGUAUGUGAACGUAAGAAUCCAUCACACCCGAUCAUCACGUGGUGCUUAGAAGCGACGAACUGUAGCAACGGUGCACAGUUAGGGGAGAACACUUCUUGAAAUUUUUGUAAGGGAUCAUCUUAUUUACUACCGUCGUCCUAAGUAAACAAGAUGCAUAAACAUAAUAAACAUCACAUGCAAUUAUAUAGUUGUGACAUGAUAUGGCCAAUAUCAUAUAGCUCCAUUGAUCUUCAUCUUUGGGGCUCCAUGAUCAUCUUGUCACCGGCUUGACACCAUGAUCUCCAUCAUCGUGUCUUCAUGAAGUUGUCACGCCAACGACUACUUCUACUUCUAUGGCUAACGCGUUUAGCAAUAAAGUAAAGUGAGUUACAUGGCGUUCUUCAAUGACACGCAGGUCAUACAAAAAAUAAAGACAACUCCUAUGGCUCCUGCCGGUUGUCAUACUCAUCGACAUGCAAGUCGUGAAUCCUAUUACAAAGAACAUGAUCUCAUACAUCACAAUUCAUCAUUCAUCACAACUUCUGGCCAUAUCACAUCACAUGAUCAAUCGCUGCAAAAACAAGUUAGACGUCCUCUAAUUGUUGUUGCAUCUUUUACGUGGCUGCAAUUGGGUUCUAGCAAGAACGUUUUCUUACCUACGAAUAACCACAACGUGAUUUUGUCAACUUCUAUUUACCCUUCAUAAGGGCCCUUUUCAUCGAAUCCGCUCCAAGUAAAGUGGGAGAGACAGACACCCGCCAGCCACCUUAUGCAACUAGUGCAUGUCAGUCGGUGGAACCGGUCUCAUGUAAGCGUACGUGUAAGGUUGGUCCGGGCUGCUUCAUCCCACAAUACCGCCGAAGCAAGAAAAGACUAGUAGAGGCAAGUAAGAUGACAAAAUCCACGCCCACAACAAAAUUGUGUUUUACUCGUGCAAAGAGAACUACGCAUAAACCUGGCUCUGAUACCACUGUUGGGGAACGUUACAGAAAGUUAAAA
rnacentral:lncRNA from 1 species